rnacentral:lncRNA from 1 species
UUUUUAUUCCCAGGAAUAACCCAAUUUUCAUCCAAACGCAAAAUUGAUCUAAUCCCCGCUUAUAUCUCAAUUUAUACCUAUCCCUGGAAUAGUCACUUUUUGUUUAUCCUCGAACCAAACGAUAGGCGCAGCACCGUUUGGUUAGGGGAUAGGGAUAGGAAUAGGCCCUUAUCCCCCCCUUUAUACCCAAACACUAAUUUUUUAGCCGAGAAUAGUAGUUCUCGGUUAUUCCCACCAACACCUCCAUUUUUUAUAUAAAACUUUCUAAUAUUUUUCUUAUCCCCGGAAACAACCCAAUUUUCAUCCAAACGCUAUUUUUCUUAUCCCCAUACUUAUACCUAUCCUUGUAAUAGCUAGUUCUUGCUUAUACCCGAACCAAACGGUACUACUAUUAUCAGUUGGUAAUUAACAUUGCUCUACUGAGUUUAUAUAUCUCAAAUAAUAAUAUUAUAAAUACACUUCUAGUUAAAUGUGGUUCGAAUUUCAUUGAAGUUAAAAUCUAUAAUAAACUACUUGUCCGAUACUAUAGCUAACUGCCGUAUAAAUUGCAAGCUUUGUUUCAAUUAAUAUAACUUAGAACGAAUUUUUUAAUCUAAUUAAUAAUAUUGACUUUUUUGUUCAAUUUAUGCUAUCACCUUUUUCUGCUUGGUAUUUAUUUUAAUCAAUAAAGUUUGGGGAUCACCGAUCUAUCCUAAAACUACUUCCGUCAUAACACGCUUAACCUUCUUAAUUUCUUAGGUCUAGUCAUCAUUCAAAAUGCUUAAGUCGUGUUAAGAUUUUUAACCCUAUUAUAUUUUAUAUAUAGAACAAUUUGGGAUCUUACAGUCCCCGCUCCUUAAGCCCUGACAUUCUAAUCAGAUCCAGACUCAUAAGUGUCAGGCGAUAUGAGACUUAUCUCGCUAGUCUAAACCAAUCUUAUGGUAAGCUGCGCUCUACCCACAACAGUCAACAGUAUGAGAGUCUCACUUUUUCCGUUAUAUAAUUCUGACUCAGUCGAGACUUAUCUCAUACUUUCGGCUGGUAAUUUACUCUGAUAUAAACUGUGACGCCCCAACUUCUCAGAAGGUCAUCCAUUCGAGGGUUACUCCCGUUCUAGUACGCUUAACUCUCUUAACCUCUUGUAUCUAACCACCGCCUAAAAUACUUAAGUGGGUUAAGAGUUUUAGUCUUAUUAUAUCUUACAUAUAGCGCUAUACGGGGUCUCAUAUAAAAUCUUAUUUAUUUUUUUAUUAACUGAAGGGGCAUUGAUGAUAGUCAAUUAUAGAGAUAAAUCAGGUAUAAUAUGUAGCCAUAUUUUCUGAGAUGCAUCACACUAAAAAUUAUUAAAUUAAAAAUAACUUCUCGUAUUCCUCCUAAGAAAAUUCUAUUGAUUUUAUCUUUUAAAAUCACCCUCCACAUCCUUUGAUAGGCUUUUGCUCACUCAAAUUAAAUUCACUCUAAUAUUAUUAUUAAAAAAAUAUUAUUAUUAAUAAUGCAGAUAUAUUUGUUUCAACGAUUGUUUAGUGAUAGUUCUAGCUAAUUAACUUCAAUGAAGUUUCUUUGUUAGUACAUCAAAGAUUUUAAACUUCUAUGUGUUCCUCAGCCUCCAAACAAGAUGUACUAAGAACCAACAAUGAGUCUGUGUUACCGACCGUCUCUAGCGCAAGUAACAAAAGAUUUGGUGGUUGAUACCUGAGAUCUCAAAUUCAAAUUCUAGAUAAUUCAUAUUUUCAGUAAAAUUUAUUUCUAAAUAAAACAAACGAAACGAAUAGCAUGCUACCUACCUAUCUUUCAAAAAAAAAAGAGUCUAUGUUAAUAAUCACAGGUCUAGUGCUUGUGUCUUAAAAAAAAAAAAAAACUUCAUAGCACUAAAUUUUAUAGGUAUGAAAAUGGAAGCACAACUUUGUCGAAGAACUCAUCUGCGACUUGUUGAGAUGGUAAAUUGUAUGUUUCACCGUGUGUUCAAAUUAAAUUUAUUUUAAUUUAUAAAUUCUUUUCAAAUUUCAACUCUGUAUUCAUCGUUAAAUUUAAAGAGAAACUUAUAAAAUUGAAAAAGGAGCUCCUGAUUCUCUUUCUUUUUUUCUUUUUUUUUUCUUUGUGUGUGUGUGUGUGUGUGUGUGUGUGUGUGUGUUCAUAUAGUAUGGGUAUCUCUAUGCUCUAGGUACAAUAAUUAAAAUAAAAAAAAACUAGAGUGUGUUAGGUGGUGGUAUAUAGACCCGGUCCAGGUGAUACUCGCACCUUUUAAUUUUGGAUAAUGAUGAUUGGCGGGGAGCGGCUUUUAAAGCACGGGUUGUUUUAUGAGCCGAAAUCGAGAUUGACCGAAAAUCUCGGAACGAGAGAAGCUAAUUAAACACACCUUUGAACGGUGAUCCUCCCAUGAAAAGGUGUUUUGUCACCCGAGAACAGUUGCCACGUGUCCCUUAGUUUAAUUACAUUGUAUGACGAACGGGUGUGAUCGAUCCCAACUAAUGAUCUACAUAUUUCACUUUUACCUGCGCCGUAUCGUUGGGCCAAAUGCCCAUACGUAUGUCAAAAUUCAGCAUCUUACGUAUAUUCGUAUUUGAAUUCGUAUUUUAUAAUAUAUAUAUAUAUAUAUAUAUAUAUAUAGGAUCCGGCUACUAUACUAUUAUGAGUACGAUCGCCCUCGUACUCAUAAGUUGUUUUCGAUGUUAGAGCUUCCGAAUCGACGAUCCACACCGUUAAACAUUAUUUACAGUAUUUAAAACUUCUAGAAAUCAAACAUUAUAAUUUUUCGAUAUCAUUUACCUUACGAUCAAGAGAUCACAAAUUUGACAAUUUUUAACGGCCGGUAUGGAAUACUUUCUAGUUUAACGGUGUAAAAGAAUCGGAAUUUAUUAAUUUUUUGAUAGAAAAUUCUAUUCACUACAUAGAUAAAGUAAAUAACUCCGAUCUUGAAUUGAAGGAUCCGAUCAUGCUUUUUUAGGAUGUCGUUCGAUUUUGACCGUUCAUUUUAUGCCCACUUGAUGGACUUUAUUAUGAUUUCAAAAAUUUACGAAAUUUAUUUUCUAGAAGUUUCAAAUACUCUAGAUCAUAUUUAACGGAGUGGAUCGUCGAUUUGGAAGCUCCAUCAUCGAAAACAACUUAUGAGUACGAGGGCUCCAAUACUCAUAAUAGUAUAGUAAUCAUAGCAUAUAUAUAUAUAUAUAUAUAUAGAGAGAGAGAGAGUUGAGCAUAGGAAAUCUUCUCUAUAGUAAACUGGGGCGUUUUACUAUCAGAGUUGUUUCGAUGAUAGAGCUUCCUAAUUGACGAUCGGCUCCCGUUAAAUAUGAUCUAAACCAUUAUAACUAAAUCUAGAAAUCAAAUUUCACGCACUUUCGAUAUUGUUCUUUAUCCUCUGGUGAACAAAAAAUGAGGCCUGGAAAAUGGAAUAUUCUUUAAAAAAGAUGAUAGGAGUCUUGUAAUCAAGAUCAAGAGUAUAGAUCUUGUUUUUAAAUAGUUUAAGAAUUUUCUAACAAAAAUACAAUUGAUUUGGAUAUCUUUACAAGCCGUUAAAUGAGAAAACGUCCUUUAUCCACCAUUAAAAUUACAAAUUUUGAAACCCUUUGAUCAUUAGGCAAAUGAUGUCGAAAAAAGAUUUGAAUUUGAUUUCUAAACACUUCAAGUGAGUAUAAAUCAUGUUUCACGGAGCGAUCGUCAAUUUGGAAGCUUUAUCAUCGAAAACAACUCGAUAGUAAACGCCCCGUUUACUAUCGAGAUAUUCUAGGCUCCAACUCAUCUAUAUAUAAUAUAUAUGUUAUAUAUAUAUAUAUAUAUAUAUAUAUAUAUAUAGUAGGUCUUGUGUGCUAUUAGGAGCACGGAGGCCUCCGUGCUCGUAAGCCGUUUUCGACGAUGGAGCUUGCGAAUCGACGAUCGGCUCCGUUAGACUUAAUGUUGCAUAUUUUAAGUAGCUAGAAAAUAAAUUUUGCGAUUUUUCGAUAUCAUUUACUUCACGAUCAAAAGGGCUCAAAAUAAACAGCUGAAAAUAAAAAUCUCACGAAAAGUGGUGAUAUAGCAUUAAAAUUUUCAAUCAGAGAUAUUAAUUUUACAGUAAAUAGUAUAAAGAUUUUUCUAUCAAAAUUUCAUCUCAUUUGAAUACUUCUACACCGUUAAACUUACAAACGAUAUACAUUAACCAGUAAAAAUUGUUAAUUUUGAGCCUUUUUGAUCGCUAGGUAAAUGACAUCGAAAAAUCGCAAAAUUUAUUUUCUAUAUACUUCAAAUAUGCUAGAUCAAGUCUAACGGAGCCGAUCGUCGAUUCGCAAGCUCCAUCGUAAAAAACGGCUUAGGAGCACAGAGGCCUCCGUGCUCCUAAUAGCACACAAGACCUAUUAUAUAUAUAUAUAUAUAUAUAGAGAGAGAGAGAGAGAGAGAGAGAGAGAGAGAGAGAGUUGAGCUAUGAUACUUUUACAAGUAUCACCAUCAUGGUGCUAUUAGGUUUUAAGCCAUUGGAUCUACUUUUUUAUUAUUAAUAGCCCUUGGAUUAAACACUAUUCCACUUACCACCACCUACCACCAUCAUCUCAACCUCACAUCUCUCCAUCCAAGGGCUAAAAACACACAAGUAUCACCCCCAUGAUACUUUUACAAGUAUUCUAGCCCUACUAUAUAUAUAUAUAUAUAUAUAAAUAUAAUUAGGCUGGAAUACUAUUAAUAGUAAAACAUUUUUUUUGCUAUCAAGUUUUUAACCAUUGGAUGAAAAAUUGUAGGGCCAAGAUGAUAUUAGUCAGUUAGAGUUGAGUGGUCCCCCUAGGGUUGAGUNNNNNNNNNNNNNNNNNNNNNNNNNAUUGAUUUUGAAUCCUUUCGAUUGCUAGGUAAAUGAUAUCGAAAAAUCACAAAAAUUAUUUUCUAGAAACUUCAAAUGCGCUAGAUCAAGUCUAACGGAGCCGAUCGUCGAUUCGAAAAUUCCAUCAUCGAAAACGGCUCAGGAGCACGGAGGCCUCCGUGCUCCUGAGAGCACAGCAGCCCUACUCUCUCUCUCUCUCUAUAUAUAUAUAUAUGCUCUUUCAAUGAUGGUAUUUUCGAAUCGACAAUCGGCUCCGCUAGAUUUGAUCUAGCGUAUUUGAAUUUUUAGAAAAUAAUUUUUGCGAUUUUUCGAUAUCAUUUAUCUAGUAAUCGAAAAGAUUGAAAAUCAAUAAUUUUUAACGGCUGAAAAUAAAAAUCCUAUAAAAAGUAGUGAUAUAGCACUAAAAUUUUCGAUCAGAAAUAUUGAUCUUGUUGUAGAUAGUAUAAAAAAAUUUGUAUCAAAAUUUCAUCUGAUUUGAAUACUUCUAUACUGUUAAACUUGAAAACGGCAGAUAUCAACUAUUAAAAAUUAUUGAUUUUGAAUCCUUUCGAUCACUAGGUAAAUGAUAUCAAAAAAUCACAAAAAUUAUUUUCUAAAAACUUCAAAUACACUAAAUCAAGUCUAACGGAGCCGAUCAUCGAUUUGAAAAUUCAAUCAUCGAAAACGGCUCAGGAGCACGGAGGCCUCCGUGCUCCUAAGAGCACAACAGCCCACAUCAUCCUAACCGCACAUCUUUUAAUCCAAUGGCCAAAAACUUAGAAGCACCACUAAUUAACUUGGUGCUAUUAAUAGCAUAGUAGUCUAGUUCUAUAUAUAUGUAUAUAUAUAUAUAUGUAUAUAUAUAUAUAUGUAUAUAUAUAUAUAUGUAUAUAUGUAUAUAUAUAUAUAUAAUUGAGCUGCUAUUCUUUUGAAAAAAUCAAGUUAUUGGUGCUUGUAGAUUUUCGGCCAUUGAAUUAAGGGAUGUACGGUUAGAAUGAUGUGAGAGUCCUAGGGUUCAGUGGACGAUUGAUUGAAUAGUAUAAUUUAACGGAUAAAAAAGAUUAAAAGAGUAGAUCUAACAGUAAAAAAUUUACAAGCAGCAUAACCAAACUCUCUCUCUCUCUCUAUAUAUAUAUGGUUUUGGUAAUGAUCCGAUUUGAUUCAAUCGUUUUCACCUCUAGAAGAAAAAGAAGGAUGCUAAUGCUUUUAUAGUGUAGAGGGAUAAGAUAAAUUUUUUUUACACUUUUUAUUUAUUUUAUUAUUAUGAGCUUUUGUUAAAAUUAUAUUUAUUUUUAUUAAAUAUUAGAUUUUAUUGAAUAUAAUAUGACAUAUAAAGUUUGUAUUUGAAUAUAAAUUUAAUCCAUAUCUUUUUAGCAAAUAUAAUAAUAAAAAUUUAGCAUUCAACAUAAUUUAGCAUCUAAAUUCAUAUUUGAAGAAAAUUAUCAAUAAAUAAUAUGAUUUUAUCAAAAUUCUGGCCGUAUUCGAUCAUUUUCACCCCUAGGUUAGAACCGUCUUGAAAUAAUUUAAGUUGAUUAUUUUUUCCUUAAAAUUAAUGUUUGCUUCGAUGUUUAUGAAAAUAAUUUAGAGUAUACAAAAUUUAUUAAAAAUAAAAAAAUUAUGAAAUUUUGAUACUUUUAUAUAUGUAUAAAGUUAAGAGAAAAAUAAACGUUGUAAAUGGAAUCGACUUAAGAAAUAUGCGAUGAAAGCUCUCUAUCGGAAAUCAAAAUUAUAUAUCAUUGUCCAAUAAGACACAAAGUAUUCUUUUGAUAAUUUUUUAACUUAUUUGAACCCUAAACACUAAACCCAUAAUUUUUUAAGUUAUUUGAUAUCCAUUAAACUCAUAAGUCUAUUAAAUCAACCGUUAAAAUAGUCAAAUUUGGGACAGCUCGACCGAUAAGUAAAAUGUAUCAACAUUUAAUGAAAUCUAAUUUUUAACUUCUUUAAGUACUUUAAAAUUAAAAUAUUACUAAGGACUCUGAUUGUCGAACUAAAAACUCCAACAUUGAUUUUAAGGAAAAAAAAAGGAUUUGGGCCUAAAUCCUCUCAAAAGGAUUCUAAUCUUUUGCAAAUUAUAAGUGCAAUUGCAAGGGCACUCAGCCCAUAGGCUCUUUUUCAAAAAAAAUGAAAAAAGAAAAAAUAAAUUGAACACUUAUUCAGUUAAAAAAAUAACAGUUAUAACUAUAUCAAUUUUGUCUGGUUAUGUGAAGUUGUAAUUGUAGUAGUACAUUUCUUCUGUUUAAUAAUUUAAAGAUGGCUUUAUUUUCUUCUUAAAUUAGAUUAGAUAAUUUAAUCCUUCGUUAACUUCUUUGAUUAGAACUGCAUCGAGUUUAGGUAUAAUUCCAACUACUACAGUAUGAUCUCUUUGGAAUCUGUAAUCUUGGGUAGAAGAUGCUCGAAUAUAAAAUAUUGGAGUGAUAGGAAAAGAAAUAUUGGCCAAAAUUAAACCUUCACUUUUAAGUUUAUUAACUCUUAAUAAACAAGAUUAAAAGAUCCAAUUAUAGUGGCCUAAAAUCCUACUGGGUGGAGUAAGAUCUAGAAUCCUACUCCGAAUCAGUGAUACUUCUCGGGGUCCACACUUUUUAUUUUAAUAAAAAAUCGGUCCAACAAUAUCACAUCUGAAAGGAGUAGAUCGAGAAUAUCAAAUUUGACUAUAACACUACUACAGAAUUAGAUUAUAGGGACACAUGUUUGGGACACUUUUCAGUAAAUGUCACAUUUAUACUAAAACUUAAAAACGUAUCUACUAAUGCCUAAAUAUAAAGCCCAAUCCAACCAAAAAUAAAAAAUUACUCUACUCAACCCACCACACCCACUCCAUUUGGCCCGAUUACAAAAAAAAAAAAAAAAAAAAAAAAGAAAAAUCAAUUACCAUCUUUUCUUCUCUCUUCACUCAAUCCACUGAAAUUCUAGACGAAGAGCUUUUACUGUCGUCCUCCUCCGCCACCGCAGCCAACGAGAUAGAGUUUCGGCGGUUGCUAAAUGCUUAAAUAAGUGUUGGUAAAUUAGCAGCACUCUUUUAGAUUAUAACGACACUCUAGACGAAGAGCUUUUAGAAAAAUCAAUUACCAUCUUUUCUUCUCUCUUCACUCAAUCCACUGAAAUUCUAGACGAAGAGCUUUUACUGUCGUCCUCCUCCGCCACCGCAGCUAACGAGAUAGAGUUUCGGCGGUUGCUAAAUGCUUAAAUAAGUGUUGGUAAAUUAGCAGCACUCUUUUAGAUUAUAACGACACUCUUUAACUGUCAUUAUAUACCUAACGACCCCACAUAUAGCAACAUUUUUAAAAGUAUCGGUAAUUUUAGCUAGCAGCACUUUUUUAACAUGUACCUAUAUUUAAAAGUGUCGCUAUAGACCUUUUUGUUGUAGUGUAAGACAAAAUUCUAAUUUUUAUACGAAUAAGAAGAUACUUAUGGUGAAACUUUUUAUAAACAGAAAGUGAAAUUUUGACAACGAUUCAAGAGGCUUAAACGAUCUCGCAAGUCGCAACACCCUGAAACUCACAUGAAAUUUGUUAGUAGUAAUAGCUGGCUCUUCUCGAUCCGCACACGUAGAAAUAGAAAUCGUCUUAAUCAGAGUCCGUAUGUGGAAGGUAUGCUUUUCAAAUGAUGUGAUGUUUGGCCUAAACCAAAAUCGACCACCUAGCUAGAUCCUCCUGGAUCACUUUGUGCAUUUCCAAUUUCACUAGUUGUAGUGCAUGCCUCAUUAAAUAUUGUAUAUGGAUUUGUAUGUAAUUAAUACCAGAAGUGUAACAAUCCCACAUACCUUAUGCUCUUUAUACUGUACCCGCUCCUUAGUUACGAGUGAACUGGAAAAAAAAAAGUGGUGAUUGAGGAAUUUCCAUUUCACUGAGACAUCCGAAUCAGAACGAGACUUUUGCAUAACAAACAUCCACAAACGAAAUCGUCUAUUCUGAUUUUGAUUUCUGAGGCUGCGUUUGGUUGGAGAACUAAAUUUUGGAGAACAACUUUGUUGUUCCCGAGAACAGAAAAUAUUCCGGUACAAGAUAGAACAAUUGUAAAUUUGUGUUUGGAUGCAUUCGAGGAUAUUCUAGAGGAUAUCCUUAAUAGCGUUUGGAUAAAAAGUCUAGAACAAUGUCUAAAUAUAUUUUUAAAAAUAAAAUAAUUAAUUUAUAUUAGUAUAUUUUAUAUAAAAUUAUUUCUUAUAGUAAUUUAUAAUAUAAUAUUUUAUGUAAGAAUCUAAUUAAAAUAAUAUUAUAUUUAUAUAUUAAUAAUUUAUUUUAUGUAAUAAUUUAUUUUCUAUAAGUUUUAUUCAUAAUAUAUUAAUGGAAUAAAGCUAUAAUAUAAGCAAUAUCCCUAUUAUUAAUUAAUAAUUAGAUAAAUUUUAAUUACAAAUAAAAUAUAUGAUAAUUAAAUAUUUAAGUUAUAAAUGAUAGAGUUUACAUAAAAAUAAAAAAAUAUAUUCAAUUUAAUUAAUUUAUUUAUAUAAUAAAAUUUAAGUAUAAAUAUUUAUAUAAAAAUUAGUAUAAUUUCAAUACCAAUUAAUAUAUAUAUAUAAUAUAAUUAUAUAUAUAUUAUUUGAUUAUAUAUAUAUAUAUAUAAUAAUAAUGAUAAAAUUAGAUUUUAUGUAUAUAAGUUACUAUAUAAAAUAAAUAAUAAAUAUUAAAGUAUAAUGAUAAACUUUAAAAUAAAAUUACCAUAUCAAAAAUUUAAUUAAUUUAUAUUAUAUAAUAAAAUUUAACUAUAAUAUAUUAUCAUAAAAUUUAAGUAUAAAUUUUCAAUAAGUUAAAAUAUUAUAUGAAUAUAGGAAAACAUAAUUUUAUGUAUAUAAUAAUUAAUAUAAAAUAAAAUAAUUAAAUAUUAAUAUAUAAAUGAUAAAACUUAAUAAAAUAAAAUAUAUAUCAAAUUUAAUUAAUUUAUAUUAUAUAAUAAAAUUUAAGUAUAAAUAUAUUAUCAUAAAAAUAAUAUUUAUAUUAAUAUAUUUAUUUAUUAAAUUUGAGCAUUCAUUUAAUUUAUUUGAAAUUAAUUAAAAUAAAGUAUAAAAAAUUAAAAGGCUAGAAAAGAAAAAAAAAAAGAAAAAAAAAAGGCCCAAAUCUCUUGUUCCGGCUUGUUCUCCCUAAAAGGGAGAACAAGCUUACCGGGUUGUUCCCGGCUUAACGGGUUGUUCCGGAAACUAUCCGGUUGUUUCAAAAUGCAUUGUGUUUGGAGGGAUAUCCCGCUUUGUUCUGGAAUAUCCCUCCAACCAAACGCAGCCUGAGUGAAAAGAAGAGCGAAGCAAACACGCCCAUUGUUUUUCAGAAGUGGCUUAUGAUCUUAACACAGAAGUGUGAAAAGCAUCAGAUCCAAUCACGGACAUGCGCGCAUGCACGCACGCAUGCAUGAAUAUAUACUUGCUUAUGACAGUUGUUCAAACGACUGAUCGAGCACAAAAAAACAAUGUAUUCAGCCCACUUGCACUUCCCUUGGAAAUAGGGCUUCAAAUUAUUUUGGCCCACAAUGUACAACAAUUGACCCAGUCACCACUCUUCGUGCUGAAAAUUUGGCUUCAAACAUUUUUUGAAAAAAAAGAAAGAAAAAAAAUUAAGAUAUUCAACUAAUCAAUGUGUGUAUAAUACGAAUUUGAUCAUUAGAAAAUAUGUUUUUAGUUAAACAAGCCGGUCACAAAAUCAAACAAUUAAUUUGAAGUAAAUAAUUAUUAACCAAUGUUUCAAAAGGCGAUUGCGACUGGGCUUCUUCAUCCUUGAAAAGUAAAACUUCGAAUCAAUUACACUUCCAAAUCAUUGUCAAUUGGAAAAUUAAAAGAGAAAGAAAAAAAAAGUGUACCAAAAGUUGUUUGGAUAUCAAAAGUUGAUCAAAUAAGUAAUUUUAUUUGCGUUUUCGCCCGAAUGUAAUUAAAUCAAGAGCCACUGCAAUUAGCGUGUAAUCCAGACAUGCAACUCUACUUAGAUGUAUGACAAAUAUAUAAUAAUUCUGACACAUUUUUGGGUCAAAAGAAAACUUUAAUGCUAAUUUUUGAUUUUUUAAAUUUUAAUUCUUAUUUAUCAAUUUUAGGAAGAUGUAGUCUUCGAAUAUCACAGGAUGCAGUAUCGCCAGUUGGUUCAUGUUGCCACCUUUUUUAAUUAUUCGAUACGAUUAUGCGAGAAUCGUGGUGGAUACGAAGCAUCUUUUUUAUCUGCCAGAAUAUAUGUGGUGUGGAAGUGAAGUACUACCAUUGUGAUUAAUAAUAUAAUAAUAAUUUAGAUGAUACAUCACUUCCAUAUAUAUUUAGCUAAAUAAAUUGGGUUAUGGAAUUUAAUUGCAACAAUUUAAAAAGUUCGAGUUAGAAAUUACAAUAAAUUAAAACUUAAGGACCAAAGUGCCAUGCGCAUUAUAGUUUGAGGGCGAAACGUGUAAUUUGCCUUAAAAUAUAAGAGCAUGUGAUUCUAUAUAUUCAAUGGUACGUUUUUCACAUUAAUAUAAAAAUAAAAUCACAAAACUACCCGCUUCAUUUAAUGGAAUGAUAAAUUAGACAAUAAGGGUGAGGCAUUCUGAACCUCGAGGGCUUAAAACUUUUUUUUAAGAAAAAAACAUCGUCAACUGCUUAGUAGUGGAUCCGCAUUGCUGCUUAGUCUUAGUGGAUCCGCAUUGCUGAGAUAUGUUCCUAAAACUUCUUCAACUGCUUAACCUUAUGGAUUGCUAGCAAUGGGUCCGGCUUGAUUUUUCUGAAAGUCAUAUUAAUUGUUCCCGACCUUUCAAAUGACCUACCAGCAGACUACUAUUUUCGUAAAUUAGUUACUCGUAGUCUGCAGACCUACCCAACUCCAUUGCUGAGAUAUGUUGGGGAUAAUUGAUGUUUUGUCUAAAAUAAAUAAUUUUUAAAAUUUUGAAAAUAAGGCCCUGUUUGGAUGCAUAGUUAAAAAACUACAUGAAAUUUUUAUUCUAUAGUUUUGGUCUAAAUGAAAUACGGAAUUUUAUAACUACAAAAAAAUUUCACAACUUCAUUUUUAAACUGUUUGGAAACAGAUUAUACAAUUCCAUAGUAUUUAUAAUAAUUAAAUUUCUAAAAUUUUAAAAUUCAAAAUUCAAAAUUCAAAAUUCAAAAAUUCNNNNNNNNNNNNNNNNNNNNNNNNNNNNNNNNNNNNNNNNNNNNNNNNNNNNNNNNNNNNNNNNNNNNNNNNNNNNNNNNNNNNNNNNNNNNNNNNNNNNNNNNNNNNNNNNNNNNNNNNNNNNNNNNNNNNNNNNNNNNNNNNNNNNNNNNNNNNNNNNNNNNNNNNNNNNNNNNNNNNNNNNNNNNNNNNNNNNNNNNNNNNNNNNNNNNNNNNNNNNNNNNNNNNNNNNNNNNNNNNNNNNNNNNNNNNNNNNNNNNNNNNNNNNNNNNNNNNNNNNNNNNNNNNNNNNNNNNNNNNNNNNNNNNNNNNNNNNNNNNNNNNNNNNNNNNNNNNNNNNNNNNNNNNNNNNNNNNNNNNNNNNNNNNNNNNNNNNNNNNNNNNNNNNNNNNNNNNNNNNNNNNNNNNNNNNNNNNNNNNNNNNNNNNNNNNNNNNNNNNNNNNNNNNNNNNNNNNNNNNNNNNNNNNNNNNNNNNNNNNNNNNNNNNNNNNNNNNNNNNNNNNNNNNNNNNNNNNNNNNNNNNNNNNNNNNNNNNNNNNNNNNNNNNNNNNNNNNNNNNNNNNNNNNNNNNNNNNNNNNNNNNNNNNNNNNNNNNNNNNNNNNNNNNNNNNNNNNNNNNNNNNNNNNNNNNNNNNNNNNNNNNNNNNNNNNNNNNNNNNNNNNNNNNNNNNNNNNNNNNNNNNNNNNNNNNNNNNNNNNNNNNNNNNNNNNNNNNNNNNNNNNNNNNNNNNNNNNNNNNNNNUUUGAAAUUUAAAAAAUCUAUAAUUAAAAUUUUAAAUUUUAAAUUUAAUAAUUUAUAAAUUUACAUAUUUAUAAAUUUAAAAUUUAAAAUUUAAGUUUAAAUUUAAAUUUUGAAAAUUAAAAAUUAAAAAUUAAAAAUUAAAUUAAAAUUUGAAAUUUGAAAUUUGAACAUUUUGAAAUUUGAACAUUUUGAAAUUUGAAAUUUGAAAGUUGAAAUUUGAAAGUUGAAAUUUAAAAUUUGAAAUUUGAACUUUUUGAAAUUUGAAAUUUGAAAUUUUGAAAUUUGAAAUUUGAAAUUUGAAAUUUGAAAGUUGAAAUUUGAAAUUUGAAAUUUGAAAUUUGAAGUUUGAAGUUUGAAAUUUGAAAUUUGAACUCUUUAAAAUAUGAAAUUUGAAAUUUGAAAUUUGAAAGUUGAAAUUUGAAAUUUGAAAUUUGAAAUUUAAAAUCAAAAUUAAAAUUGAAUUUUAAAAUUUUAAAUUUUGAAAUUUAAAAUUUUAUGUUGAAAUUUAAAAUCUAGAAAUUGAUACAUCUUUGGGAGCUCAGAAUGGUGAUAUUUUUUUCCUUUGGUGAAAGUGGAUUGUAAGUUUACUCUAUUUUUUGAAGUAUAGUAUAACUAUACUCCAAAAAUUACAUUAUUUUUUUUUUUCUUACAAACGCUUCAUAGAAUUAUUUUCCUACCGGUGUAGUAUAGUUUAACGAUACUACGUUUUUAGAGGUAUCCAAACGGGGCCUAAAUGUAAUUUCAAUAUGGUUCUCCCCAUUGAUCUAGAUCGAUCUGCGACGUACAAAGAAUCAAAUUAUGCCAGAAGGCAUAAAAACCCAUUCUCCUCGUUGAGAAACUUCCUAUCGAAGUUCUAUCCGACUAGAUGUCUUGUCCACCACUGUCACGACGAACAUCGUCAUUGGAAAGCUUUUCAUUAAAAUUUUAUUGGAUCGUACGGUUCACCACUAACAUGGUGAAUAUUUUUGUUGAGAAGUUUUCCACUGAAGUUCAGUACUAAAAGUCGUGGUGAACCAAUAGGUUCUCACGCGAUAAUUUCCAAAACUUACAUCCCAAUCACGUGCUUUUGUAGCACACUGACACCAAGAAACCCUUAUCAUUUGCCACGAAGCAUAUGUGACAGAUGCUCAAGACAUAAAUAAGCCGAGAUCAGAGGCGGAGAGCCCAACCCCAACAAUUUUUUUUUAUAAUUAAUUUUCUUUUAAAAGUUUCCAGCGUAGCUAAUUGUAUGGCCACCCGUGAAUAUAUUGCUAGUCCAUUUUAGACCACAAAUUCCAUGUUGCCUAGUACCAACAAAGUGUAUAUAGGGACAACACCACCUUUGUUGUGUCUAGGAGGAAAAAAAAAAAAAAAAAAAAAAAAAAAAAAAAAAAAACUAAGAGAGAGAAAGAGAGAGCACCUUUAUUUUGUGUAGGAGAAAAAAAGCAAAGAGAGAGAUAUCAUUUAACCCUCUCUUAACUGAAGGAUCACAUGCAUGCCCUACGACAACCACAAUGUUAGCAACUUAGCAUAAUAGUACCUCCCAUUCUAGAUAUAUAGAGAGAGAGGGGAGGUAGAAAAUAUUGCAUGUACCUAGAGUCCCCAAAUUCAAAUUUAGAGGUUUCAAAAUUUAAAUAUUAACUCUGAUACCAAAUAAAAUAAAUAUUCUAGCAUUUAAGCUGUUCUUUAGUGAAUGGUUAUUUCAUUUUGUAUCAGAACAUGAGAUUGCUGAUCAAAUUCCAUAUUAAAUAGUCACGAUACUCAAUAUUAUUAUAAGAAAAUAUUGUUCAUUAAUUACAUGAGAGAACUAUCAUAAAAAUUAGCUCAUUGGCUUCUUGAGUGUCGAGAUAUCGCAUCUAAUAAUAUUUAUGUAUUCAUGUUGAGCCCAAGUCUAUAAACCAUGAUCCACAAUAAUUUAUACAUACAUAGAGAGGGACUCUCUCUAACCACUAGAAGGGGAUUCUAGAAUGAUCCGUGACUCUCUUUUCACUCUUGUUUUAUCACUUUGAAGAACACAUAAAAUAAUGGAUCAAAAAUUAACUUAUAGCGAUGUGAAAUUGGUUUGGGAUACGUGGAUGAUUAGAAAAAGGAGCCAAACACAGAGCGAUGUACUGAUUGGACUUAUAGGUUGCUGGUGGGUUACUUGAGUGGUCAAAAACAAUAUGAUCUUUCGAAAGACUCCGACGAACUCCCUAUUAGCCGUCAGCAAAAUCAAGCAAUUAAAGUACAUGUAGGGGCAAAUUAUCUCAUCGAAUUAUUUUAUUUAUUUAGUUUUUUUUUUUCACUCAGCUUGCUUGAGACUUGUUGUUGCCUCACCCUUAUAACCUAAUUCAUACUUUUAAUGAAUGAAGUCGGUAGCGUGCUACCUUUAUGUUAAAAAAAAAAAAAUUAACUUGUUUGCACCUGGAGUAAAAAAGUAAAUAACUAUUGGCUUCUUUUUGUCCGUAUCCAACAUUUUUUUUUUUGACGAUCCUUGACACGCAGAUUAAAAACAGAAAUGAGGUUAAUUAUUUUUAUUUUAUAUUUAUUAAUUUUUUUAAGGGGACCAACCCUCGAAUUCAUGCAGGAGAAGCGUGUGGGAUUGUUACGUACCAAAAUGCAAAUAAAGCUACUGGUUAUAAAUAAUUGAAUGUAUAAUUGAGGCUUCAUACGUGGAGAUCUAACCGAGUGAAAAGUGCUUUUUGAAGCAUUUAAUUACGAUUUUCCAUGAGGGCGUACAUUGAGAUUCGUGUACUAACUAUUGAAAACUGGAAAAAUGCAUGCCCUCAGUCUCUCGCGGUAACAUUUUGGAUGCGUAUGUUGCGAAUUUAUUUAAAGUUUUAUAUUAACAAUUUAUGUAGCAGCAUUUCGAAAUAAUUUAGCAUUAUUUUUUUCUAAAUAUAUAAUUAAAUCACGUUAAAAUUUCUCAUCCAUCGGAUAAAUUAAGCACAUCCAAGUGAAAUGGUCGGAAGUGUUGAGUAUAUAUAUUUAUUAAAACGUAAUUUUUUGGCCACGGUAAUUCUGAAGCUUAAGUUUUUCUUUAGGCUCACUAAAUCACCCAAAAAAAAUAAUGUGUAUUUUUCUACCUAUGCUAAAAUGAUUUGGUUAGUUCUUUCCGACAUCUAAUAUCAUGACUAACAUAUAUAUAUAAAAAAUUUAAUAAAACAAAAUCAUGUCCAAUUGUAUGCGUCUCUCGAAUAGCUGCGAAAAGAGAGGACAAGUUUGAUUUGUAUAUAUGAAGACAUUUCUCAUUCUCUGAUCGGAUGCAGAAGAAUGAAUUGAAUGCCAACAUAAAAGUACGUUUUGUAGAUGAUCAAUGUACACCCAAUAUUUAUGUGUACGAGUUCUCAUUCACAUUAUUAAUUUGUGUAUUUUUCUUUCGCAUCAAUGUUUUCUCUUAUUCUUGUCUCAAUCGAUCACUUAAAUUGCACCAUAAGAUAAAUAAUUUGAUAUAUACAAGGACAAACACAUGUAGCCAAUUAUUAUUUGGGCAAACUUGAUUUUGGCCCUUAAUGCAUAAUUUAACUAUUAAGAUCUAAAUCACUAAAAGUGAUAUGCAGAGAUACUAUUGUGUCAUGUACACGGACUUUUAAUCAACUAAACAAUUAGCUUGGAGGUUUGAUCACCGGUUACGUAUUUACAAAAAAAUAGGCCCGUGCUUAGAAUAUUCUAUAUAUAUAUACUAGAAAAGUCAGAAUUUUCCGACUAGAUAUUAAAUAUAUAAUAAUACAAAUAUUAUUUUUGACAAUUUAAAUUUUUAGAGAUAAGCGGUUGGUUCAGUUAUUUCACUGUAAGGGCGUAAAUACAAAGUAAUUAAAAAGAGAGACAAUUAGCUUUAGACCAACCUACUUGACACUAGUAACCACGAAUUAAGGAACAUAGAUCCAAACUUCAAAAGUUAAACCAUCAUAUAUAUAUGGUUGUUCUAAAAUUCCCCAAAUGAAAAGGAUGGUUUUGUUUUACAUAAAACUGGGAUUUAAUAAUCAACUAAAUUGUUUGGUGGAUUACUAAAAUUUGAAUAUUGUCAUGAGAGAAUUAAAAUGAUUAAUAUCAUCUAUUGAUGCAACGUUCCAGGACAUAAGAGGGAUAAAACAACCCUAACAAACACUAUUUUAUCUUAUUGCAUGGCACUCACGAGACUCACAGGGUUCACGAGCUCCACAGCACUAAAAUACGGCUCUAGGGUAUUCUUUCAUUAAAAAGGCAUGGACCUAUUCUCCCUUCUAAAAGCUCCAAUUCUCCACACCCUCGAUCUAUGCAUUAUUAGUUGUUACCCUCCUCAAUCACAACUCUUUUUUUUUUAUUUUGUUUUUUUUGAGAGAAAGUAGCAUGUUAUCCGGUUCAUUUAUUUCAUUUAGAAAUAAACUUAGCUGGAAAUGUGAAUCAAUUAGGAUUCGAACUUGGAUCUCGUAUACCAAUCACCAAACCCUUUUGUCACUUGCGCUAGGAACGGUCGGUCUCCUCAAUCACAACUCCAUCUUCAAAAAAAGGACAUGUACAUUCAACAAUUCUCUCAGCUUAAAUUCCCUUCCACUGCUCUUUUCAAUGAUUAAUUAGGAACAUUCGAUACCUCAAUAGCCUCACAUCAAAUAACAUACGUGACAUUAUAUAUAAACAUAGGUUUAAACAUUUUGAAUAUAUGAUUUGGGCUCAGCUAGUUGGUAAUGCCAAUAAUUAGGCGAAGACUUAUGGACCUUAAUUAUCUAAACUAUAGACCAUUUAGAUUGAGCUAUCCAAUUUUCUUCAAAAUUUUAAUUUUACUAUUUAAUCUUUUCGAUUUGUUUAAUUUGAGUUAAUAAACAGUACUUUGACUUUAAAGUUUCAAUACGUCGUUUAUUUUAUAGAUUUAGUUAGUAUAUUUCAUAUAAUUCUUACAAUUAUAUAAAGUUUAUUAAAAUAAAUAAUUAGUUUAAAUUUUAGGGUCAAAGUAUUGUUCACCGACUCAAAUUUAAAAAUUGAAAAGGUUGGAUAGUAAAAUUAAAAUUUUAAAAGUUUAAAUAGCCAAAUCUAAAUGACCGAUAGUUCAGGUAAUUAAGGUCCAUACAUUUUUCAGCAAAAUUCCAACCAGUUGGUUCUAUGGGAGCUAAACAAUCACGGACAUGCGUCACUUGAUUAUUCUCAGCUAUGGUUGACUGGACUUGACGAUAGCUACUGAGCCUUGCGAAGGAGUUUUUAAGACCCCAACAGUCUCACACUAAAUAAUGGGGGAGUGUUUGAGGAUAAUAGAACGGUCAUUAGGACUAGCAAUAUAAAUAGCUAGUACUCCGUUUUUGGGAACACUUUUGUCAAUGUGGCUUCAUAUACUCAAAGUGUUCAUCUCGGAUCUAUCAAAAAAUUUCAAACUGAGAUGAAAAUAUAGUAGCAUAUAUAUACAACAUACAUAUGCACUAAAUGUGAAUUGUUGUUUUCAUUUCUUGAAUUGUGGAGAAAGAAACAACUAUAUAAGGGUAUGUGGUAGAAAAUGCAAGGAGUACCAUUAUUGUUUACUAAGAUAGAUACAACAUGCAAGACAAAAUACAUAUUGGCUUCUUGUUUUUGUGUGUGUGUGUGUGUGUGUGUGUGUGUGUGUGUGUGUGUACUCCUCAUUAAAUUAAAUUACCACUACAUUACAACUUUAGUGGCCUAUGGGUUCCCUGCAACAUUAAUGAGAGUCUCCGAGACCUUGCCUUUUUCCACAUAGAGUUGCAAUCCACUUGUUUUGGAGCUACGUGUUUCAUGUAUCGGCAUAUAACGGUUUUCCAAGAACGUACGCGCAUUUAUGUGACACAUAUUUAGUAUUCUUUGGAUUAUGCAAAUAUAAGUACAGAAAAAACACAUAUAUGAACAUAAAUAUCAUGAUCAUAUUUAAAUUUGUGUAUUUGGUUUGAUAGUCGUGUACUCUUGCAUUUCCAUCAAGAGGGUGAUCAUAUGCAUUUCAUGUAUUUUCAUGGUAAAUAUGUGAUGGUUUUCUUCGAUACAAAAGAUUGAUCUAAUAAAAAGAAGAAGAAGAAGAAGGAUUUAUAUAGUAAUUAAUGGAGGAGUUCUUUUUUUUUUCUUUCUCCUUGAGAAGAGGAAUUAAGAAAUAGAAUUCUCAUAAACGGAUCAAAUUUAAAUAGUAAAUAAUAAUCAAAUCUAAUGAAUAUAUAUAUCCCUUAAUAUAAAAAUCAACUCCGCUAAUAACAUCGUCCAAAUCUAAAUGCCUACUAUUUUUAGGUUAAGAUAGAUAGAUUGGGCUCUAGGAAAGUAAAAUUUGCUUUUGUCAACAUGUACAAAUAAAAGUAUUAAGCAGCUAUUUGAUUAGGUGUAAAUGGAAGGAUGAAACUCAAGUUCCAUCACUUCCGGUAUUUAUUCUGUUGUAAAUCAAAAAAAAAAAUGUAAUUCAAGUUACGUUAGACCUCCACUUCACCUUUUCUUGAUUUCAUUCUCUAAAGUAUCGAACUCAAGUUCCACCAUAUAUACUCAACUUUCUUUAAAAAAUUUAUUAAAUUUUAAAACCUAAACUUUACUUCCUUUAGAAUGAAUUAGAUUUUUUUUUUUUUUUGAGAAAUAAGGUAGGAAGUUACCAGUUUCAUUCAUUAAGUAAACUGAACUGAGCGUACAGAGAUGGAAGCAGCUUAAGAUCACUUCCAAAUGAGGUAGAGAUGGAAGCAGCUUAAGUAGAAUGAAUUAGAGUUACUUUCCAAAUUAAUGAGGGAUUUAAUUAUUUAUUAGGUUAGAUUUUAUAGCGAUAAGUUUACUACUAUAUUUAGAAAGUAACAUGAUUCACUUACUUUUUUGGGAAAACUUCAAAAACCCCCCCUGUGGUUUCGUGCAUUCUCACUUUGCUACCCUGUGGUUUAAAACGUAUCAAUUUAUCCCCCUGUGGUUUCAUUUUUAUCUUUUCGAAAGCUUUUUCGUUAAUAUUUCGUUAAAUUAUAUACAAAAAACUUCAGAUAACCAUCUAUAUUUAUCGAAUAGUCACUUUAGUAUCCUUUAAUUUUAACUUUGUCACUGAUUUUAAAAAAAAAUAAUAAUAAAAUUGAUAACAAAAAGAUAAAAACGAAACCACAGGGGGGCAAAUUGAUACGUUUUAAACCACAGGGUAGCAAAGUGAGAAUGCACGAAACCACAGGGGGGGUUUUUGAAGUUUUUCCUACUUUUUUUUUUUGAGAAAAAGGUAGCAUGCUACCCGCUUCCAUGAUUCACUUACUUACACCAAGAAAAAUAAUAGAACUCAAAAAUCUAAUUUUAUUAGUAUCAAGUUAUACCAAAAUAAAUACAAAAGGUAAUUGAAUUUAACUUUUAAACUGUAUGAGUUAUAUCAAAACAAAUAAUAGAAAAACAACUACACUUUAGAAAAACUCAAAUAUCACUACACUUAAGUUAUAUUGUAUUUAAAGAUUCGUCGAUUCAAACGCCCCCUAAGUGUACUCACGGUAUAUAGCUAGGGAUUACAAAUGAUCAUCCCUAAGAUUAUGAAAGGGAAUGGACAUGUUGUAAGUAUCAAAAAAAAAAGAAAAAGAAGAGGUUACGUUAGCCAACAUGAUUUUGAUAAUGACGUACGUAUCAAAUUCAUUGAUUCUAAUCAAAUUUAAUCAACGAAUAACAACUAAAUUUAACGAAUCACAUAUGCCUAUAUCAAAAUCAUAUAUGUUAAAAAAGUGUGGUCCGCUGUUAGGUUUUUUUUUUUUUUUUUUUUUUUUUGAGAGAUAGGUAGCACGCUACCCGCUUCGUUUAUUUCAUUUAGAAAUAAACUUAGUUAGAAAUGUGAAUCAGCUAGGAUUCGAAUUUGGGUCUCGGAUACCAACCACUAAGCCCUUUGCCACUUGCUUUAGGGAGAGUCGAUUGGUCCGCAGUUUGUUAAACGGUUUCAUCUUUGUAAACUUACGCUAGAAAAAGAAAAAUUGUGAUACUUCCAACAACAGGAAUAAUAGGACAAUGGUAGGGUAUGUUUUCUUGUUUAAAUACUUGUCUUAAUGCUAAGAAUUUGUUUGGCUUGUGUUGAGGGUUUAAAAUGGAAGAAUCUAAACGCGAAAAGAACAAAUAAACAAGUUGAGUGUACAAAUUUGUUACAUUAACAAUCACAGUGAAGGACAAUGGAUAUUGAUUGAACAAGUUUCCAGAAAUAUAGAGGUUGAGAUGAUGCUUUUGGAGGAAUGUGAUAAUUGCUUAGCUACAAAGUUAGAAAUUAAGGACGUGUUUGGUUCGCUUUUUUUUUCACUCUGGAAUCGGAAUCGAAAUGAGUGAAUUCGUUUGUAGAUGUUUGGCACGCGGGAGUCCCAUUCUGAUUCUGAUUUUCGAGUGGAAUGGGAAUUCCCCAAUUUUCUCUUUUUUCAAUCCGGCCUAGGAGGCCGGAUUGGAAGUUGAAUCCGGACGGAAUGGAUAUUUAUUCGGAUUAAAUUUAUUUUUUCAACUUUUUUAAUUAAAAUAUGGGUUAAAAUUUAAAAAUUAAAUAUAUAAUUUUAAAUUUUAAUUUGAACUUAAAUUAAAAAUUAAAAUUUAAUCAAGUAUUUCGAAUCUAACUUAUGAAUUUGAAUUUAAAUUAAAUUUUAAUUUAUAUAAAGUUUUAUUCAAAUUUUAUUUCAAACUUAAAUUAAAUUUAUGGAUUCAAAUUAAAAUUUAAAUUGUAAUUUUAAGUUUGAAUUUGAAUAAAUCAAAAUUUAAUUUCAUAUUUUGAAUUAUCCACUCAACUUCAAAGUUUAAUUUUUUUUUAAAAAAAAUAGAUUUAAAAUUUUGACAUUAUUUCAAAAUUUUGAUGUAAAUUUUUAAUAUUUAAUAUUUAAUUUAAAUUUAAAUUAAUAUAUUAUAAAGAUAAUGUUAGUAUAUUAAUUUGAUUACGUUUUUUGUAUCUAUCUGAACCAAACACCUACAAUGGGAAUGAUUUAUUUCGAUUCCGAUUCAGGUGAUAAAUCAAACAAAAUUAGGUAAUGAGUCAUUCCGAUUCUGAUUCCGGCUUAUUUUGAUUCCGUUUUCGAUUCCGACUCCGACUUCGAACCAAAGACGCCCUAAGUAUCGAAUGUGUUAGAACGAAAUUUCAACUGUAGGAUAGAUGGGUUAGGACAAUAUUCGAUCUCCGCUGUUUGAUGAGCGAUAAUAGUGGCUCUCCGUUAGGAAAGAUAUAAGGAUCCUGACCUUUUAUUUUUGCGAUUCAUAAGUAACUCUUUGAGGCUAUUUUUCAGUAGUUUAGUUUUCGCAUUUUCUGCGGAGAGUGGAGCAGUUUAACAUAGCUUUUUAUCCAGAUCUCAGGAUUUUAGAGUUCCUCAUUUGCAGCCAAGAUACAAUCAGAAACCGGCCUUCCGAAUUCGGCUCGAGCCAAGCGGUCAAACGUCGCGUCUUCUGGUGAGAUCAAGUCACAACAAAAAACUCGUGACGAAAGAUUCGAGUCUCCAUACAUUGUACUCAUUUUCGUUAACUGAAUACAAAGCUUUCCUUUUCACCUCUUUUCGGCAAACAAAAUGUAAUAGAAUGAGAAAUUUCUAAAGCUGUUGAACAUAAAUAAUAAAAAUACUGUUCUAUAGUAACUUAAACUAUUGGAGAUAAACGAUUGUUUUCAUAUAAUAUAAUAGUUAAUUUACAUUUUCACUCUAUUUUUUUUUUUCAUCAUUAAGUGCCAAGAAAUUUAUUCCUGAUUUUGAUAAUGGAUAUUCAUUUGUAAAUGAAAUACCCAAGUCCUAUGUUCUACGUACAGCUCCUCUCCGGACCUUAUAACAUCAAAAUUCAAACAAAUUAAGUCCCUUCCCUUUGUCAUCAAAACAAAGUUUGUAGUUUACUUAAAUCUCUAUGUAGCUCUACGAUCACCUAACGUUUUUGUGCUCAAAAAUUUACCUUCAUUCUCUUAUAGAAGUUUUGUGUUGAUAUGGCAAAUAUUGUUUGCUUCUGACGUCGACAUUUGUACGUACUAAUUAACGGACUUUUUAACAAAAGGGACUUGAUUGAAAUUGUUAAAAAGCUUGGACCCAAUCAGAAUGUAUAAGCUCCGAUGAAGAUAUUACCAAAUUAAAGAUCGAUCUAAUAAAAAUGAGCUUAGAAUUAUGUUUAACACACUGUGCACGAUGAAUAUAAAAGAAUGUGCAUGCAAUCAAUGGGUGCAGAUGGAUAUGGGGAUUUAAACUGUUAAUUAGGUGUAAUGUAGAAAUUUAAGUACAUGUUAAUUAUCGAAAGCAGAGAUUGAAUCCAUAACCUCAAGAAAUGACAAGGUUUAGAAUCAAUUCUGAAUUUUUUUUUUUUUUUGAGAGAGAUAGGUAGCACACUACCCGCUUCGUUUAUUUCAUUUAGAAAUAAACUUAGAUAGAAAUGAAAAUCAACUUGGAUUCGAAUUUGGGUCUCAGAUACCAACCACCAAACCCUUUGCCACUUGCUCUAGAGACGGUCGGUAAUUCUGAUAUCUUAUUAUUUAAAAGAUAAGGUGCAUAACAAGAGUGCUUAUAAAUAUAUUUCCGAGGAGCUAUUCACACUGAAUAAACUGAAAGAAACUGACAACAUAAGGUGUGUACCAAACUUCAAUAUCCCAAAGAAGCAUUUCAAUAUAAAAAAAAUUAUCAUAUUGUCCUUAAUUAAUUAGAUUCUUUAUCCUCUUAUAUAGAUUAAUAUAAUUAGUUUAGGCAUUAUUUGAAUACACGAAUAUCUUAUUUGAUAUAUUUUCUUAAUUUACUCAAUAAACUCAUACAUUUGGUAUAUAAAAAAAUAUGAACAUAUGUUUAAAAUUAGAUACCAUAUGCAAUUUUCAGAUAAUUUUUUCAGAAUAAUAAUAUAAAUUACUUCGCAGAUAAAAUAUAUCAUUCUAUCAAAUUAUUAAUAUUAAGAUCUUUUAAGAAAAAAGAAAUUAAACUUCUUUCUCACCACCAUAUUUAAUUUUUAGAAUAAGUUAUUCAGAAGCCUAAUCCUAAUCUCAGAAUAAUAUAUCUUAGGUGUUAUAACAGUUAAGUAUGACUGUUUCAUUCCCUUCUGUUGAAAUCCGAACGGCGAAAAAUAGAUCCAGAAAAUAAUUUAAUACAAGAAAAGAUAAGAUAAGAAAAGAACACACCGAUAUUUACGUGGUUCGGCCAACGGCCUACGUCCACGGGCGAAGACGGAGCAAAUAAUUUAUUAAUGUCGAAAAGGCGGAGUACAAGAAAGAUCUCUCAAAAGACCAAAAUUUAAUUAGGUCCGAACGCCGCAACAAGCUACUCCGAAAAGAGCUUCUCUAAGAGCUUCUCUCAACCUAAUCUGUACGGAUUCCAAAUUAGCACUAAUUAGUGCAUACGCUCCUUCACCGGUACGGACUCCCAAAAAAUUGGCUUCUCUCUCACCACCCGUACGCGGCCUUAAUUAAUUUGGAUGGAUCUUAAUUGUGUCGCGGCAUCUUAAUUUGGUCGCUACAGGAGUUUCGGCUCCUCAAUGCUCUAUAUAUAAUAUAUACUAGAGCCUUAAUUAGAGUCGGAUUCAUCCAAAUUAAUUUGAGUCUAACUCAAAUUAAUAUUGCCGUGACCAAUGGCAAGUUGCCAACUCAUUAUUUGUACCGAAUCUCAAUUCUAAUCUAUUUCAACUUAAUCUUUGCUCCAUAUAUGCCAAUUUAUAUAAUCCCUAAUUAGAUUAGAAUUUAUCCUCAAUUUAGAUAACUACAAAUAUAAACCAAAUUAUAACACCUCUCUCUCUUCAUGUGUGUGUGUGUGUGUGUGUGUGUGUGUGUGUGUGUUGGUUGAGAGUGGACAAAGUACGUUACUGGCACCCGUGACCGUUGCAUGUGAUCAGGAGGAGCUGUUGUGAGCAGAGCCCUCCCAUGGACCCAUGCCCCCUCACUCACGUGUCUCCUUUUGGCUUUUGCAACCAAAUACCCACUAAUACUCCAAAUGAACAAAAAAUAACUAGUCAAUUAAUCCACUACAAAAGACCUCUAAGCAUAUACCAUUCAUCUUACCCAACAAAAUUGAUGCGCUUGAAAAGUAACUUAAAAAUAAUUUCUUAUUAAUGCAGAGAAUUUUUAUCGGUAUAUGAAGUUUGAGAUGUCAGUGUACAUCAGUAACCUAUAAUGACAUAAUGAUAUUUUACAGUUUACCCAACUCAUUUCUCUACCUCUAAACAGGUAUGUUAGUUAAAAACCUAAGAAAAAUUUAUGUGACAAAAGGAUAUCCAUAUAUACCAACAAUGGGAUAUAAAAAACCAGCUAAUCAUAGUACACAUUGCCAACUAUGUAGACAAUUAAACAAGGCAUUUUCUAUUAUGUGGUUCCGACCAUUAGGACAAACCAUCUAUGCCAUAAACAUUCUCAUCUGAGUAAUUAUUUCAAAGGGUUAUAUAGAAAUAUAUAUAACCUCCUCUAUUGUUUUAUGUGGACAUGAGCAUCCUUUUCUUAUUGAAACUGUAUAUAUGGACCACUUGGCCAAGGUAGUCAGAAGUUUUGAGAACUAAUUACUUCAACCAAUUCUCACAAAAAGAGAUGGAAAAAAAGCCCUCUACAAAAGAGAUUCAAUGUGAUAGCACAAGCAAAAGGCAUGAAGGGGACAUUUAAAUUCCUUGGCAGUUGAAAAAAACUUCAGUAUUCUGUUCUCUCAACUGUGGGGCAAGAGUGGAUCAAUGUGGCAUUAGCUUUUAGAGAGAGAGAGAGAGAGAGAGAGAGAGAGAGCCUUUGUAUGGUUAUUUAAACCUAACCUUCCCUCCUCCAACACUCACCCUCUCUUUCUCUCUCUUUCUCUCUCUCUCUCUCUGUUCUCUCUUUCACAUAACUCUGCUUGAUACACUACACAAAGAUACAAACACAAAGAUGAGAAGUUUUAGGCUAAAGGGCGUCUGGGUGCUCCUUUUCAUUGUCCUCAUUGCACUGUGCUCCACAUUUGAUGCAUGUGAAGGGAGAAGAGGCAAGCAUUGGAGGGCAAACAGAGCUCCCUAUACAUCCUUGGCUAAGAAGAAAACUAAAGGAAAGGUGGUCGGAGGCGGCAGCGGUCGCCACCGUAGCGGCAGCGGCGGUAGCCGUCGAGCCCAUGCCCGAGCACACCGUCAAGCCCAAGUCCGGUUUCGCGGCCUAGAGUUGUGUUUGAUGUAGUUGAGUAUGGAGCAAAGGGUGAUGGAUACACAGAUGACACUAAGGUGGCCUACAUUGUUCUUUCAGAUGCUCUAAUUGAUUCUAACUUAUUUAUUAUGUUUAAAUUUAAAUUAGUUUUGUGUUAGCUUUUUAACAAGAUAAAACUAAAAUUUUUUAACCUUGAAUUUUGGAUUCUUUAUUUUGCUUUAAUACCUUAACUAAUUAAUUGUUCAUGAAAACUGUGAAGAAUGAUUUACCUCCAUGUCCCUGUUUUAGACAGGGGCGUAGGCAGAGUCACAAGAUGGAUUUUGUGUACUUGCUUUGUCGUUUUUCCAUGAUAGGCAUGAGAAAAUAAUAUUUUCCUUAUUCUAAUAUUUGUGUUUUUUCAACAAAAAUAAAAAUAAAAAGGAAUCCCUUAUUUUAAAGUUGUGUGCUGUAUCAGUGAAAUGAUAAGUUGUUCCUAAAACAUUCUGAAUUAAGAGCAAUAAAAAGUUUGAUUACAUAUAUUAGAAAUGUAGAUAUCACUGUAUUAUUGGUUUUAUCUCAUAUGCUAUGCAAAUAACAACAUGCUAUAAACUAAUUGACAAAUUUACUUCAUUUCUUCCUUCUUUUUUUUUCAACCAAGCCGAAAAGCAGUUUUACCAAGUAGUUGGUUCCAUGUAAAAUGUUUUCAAGAGUUUUACAUAUUUUAAGAAAAACCGGCAUUUUCCUACAUAUAAAUACAAACAUAAAAAUGAAAACAUGUAGCUCAAACAGAUAUAUACCAAGAACUAUUUUCAUUUUGAGUAUUGUUAUACCGACUUGUACUACAGCAUUUUGCUAAUACAGUAAGAUAAAGGUUGUAAUUGGAUGAUUGAUAAUUAAUUCACGAGAACAAUUGUUUAAUUUGUAGACAGAAUGGUAACUAUACUGUAGCUAGUAAAAAACUAAUAAGAAAGCUGUCAUCUAAGCAUAUCUCUAAAAAGCUGCCAAAAUUUCUAAAUUGACAAAGCAUUUUUCCUAUCAUUUGACACCCUAAAGAACAACCGUAAACAUAAAUUUUAAUUGUUUUGAGGAAAUGAGCAAUGUACAUAUGAUGCAGAACAUAGUGAGAAACAAAGAGUUUGUAAUGAAUGCAGGCAUUUGAAGCCGCAUGGGCGGCAGCAUGUAAGGUGCAGGCAUCAACGGUUUUAGUACCUGCGGAGUAUGAGUUCCUUGUGGGCCCCAUCUCAUUCUCCGGACCUUAUUGUCAACCCAACAUUGUUUUCCAGGUAACCGCAAGUUUUCUCCACUCCAAAAAUUCUCUACGAUGCUGCACCUUGUCAUAGUAAUAAUUUAUUAUUGCACUGUAACAAUAUGGCAAUAAAAAAAAGAGUGAUACCUUUGUCGAUGAUGAACCCGUCCGAUUCAAUCAAUAAGUCCAAUGUCUACAUUGGGUUCAGGUCUCCAGAACAAACUUACAACAUUCCUAAGUAGUUUGUUGAAUUCUGUUAAAAAGUUACUGAGAGAAGGAGCUGAAGAAGUUUUCUCAGAAUAGAGAAAGAAGGGGAAAAACAGUCCAGGACCAUUUUCAACUAACCAUAAUUAUAGGAGUGUUUGUAUGUCCUAACUACACACACCUUUUUUACGAGUAAUUAAUCCCAUUUAUAGUAGACACGAGAAAUUAUCAUUCUAACCAAUUCAAGAUUGAGAAUAAUGCAUAGAACCACAUUAAUCUACAAAAAGAAAAAAAAGAAAAAGAAAAAAGAAGGUAAAUAACAUAGAGAUUUUUCAACCUUUGCAGUUAGAUGGAAAGAUCAUGGCUCCGACAAGUGCCAAAUAUUGGGGCUUAGGGUUGCUACAAUGGCUUGAAUUUACCAAGCUAAAAGGAAUUACAAUUCGGGGCAGCGGCACCAUAGAGGGACAAGGCAGUGUUUGGUGGACCAACACGGGUGAUUACGAUGUUGAUCCUGUAAGAUUCCUCAUUUAUAUACCAUUGUUUAAUUACUUGAAAUUGAAAAAAGGAACGUUGGACUUAGCGCCCAUCUGCCCUGGCUUUAGCUUCUAUCAAUAAUUUGUUUGAGUUAAUUGAAGCACUUAAUAGCUUUUUCAGUUCGAUAAGUUGUUCCAAAAACCAAAAACCAGACCAAAUAAGGGUUCAAAAAGAUAUCAAACUAGACCUACUUUUAACCUAAUUCUCACUCUGCUAAUUGUGCAAUGAUACAUGCCUAAAUGCUACAAUCUCACCAGUUACUGGUAAAACCUCUAAUAAUUCUGUAAUUUUAAGAAUCAAAUUUCAUUAGAAAAGUAAAUAAUGAACUUACAAUGUUUACAUGGGUUGAUUUGUGAGCAGAUAACCGAUGAGCUAAGUGAAAAGAUGCCACAGAUAAAACCAACAGUAAGUCUAGCCUGUUAAACUUAUCCUGUCAUAACUUAUUCUGUCGUGACUUAUUCUGCUGAAAUUUUGUUGCAGGCUCUGAGAUUCUACGGGAGUUAUAAUGUAACAGUGACUGGUAUAACAAUCCAGAACAGUCCGCAGUGCCACCUCAAAUUUGAUAGCUGUGAAGCAGUUUUUGUUCACGACAUCACCAUCUCUUCUCCUGGCGACAGCCUAAACACUGAUGGAAUUCAUCUGCAGAACUCCAGAGAUGUUACCAUCCACCACAGUAACUUGGCUUGCGGUAAAUUUCUCACCUCAUUCAGCUCAACUCAGUGCAAAGUUUAAGAUAUAACCAGAUAUCUCUAGGUGAAAAUUAUACUCAUUUUUCAAAAAAUAAAGCUGGAAACUCAAAUUACAACUUUCAAAAUCAAAAUUUUCAGGUUUUUCUGCUUUCUGAAAGAUUGGUGUAUCUGAAAAUUGUCUAAGUUAUUCAUAAAGAAUCACCCUAUUCUCAACUUUCAAAGGAAAAAAAUAAAAUAAAAUUGUCUAGGUUGUUCAGGCCCAUUCCAUUAUCCAUUAGUUGGAUUUUCCAGUAAAGUAGCAUCUGAGCUUCCUAGCUACCUCUCAGACACAAUGGAGUUGAGGAAAAUUGGACCAGGAGUCAAUCUGUUUGGAACAUCUCAAUUUGGUCCCCAACCUUCUACCUAUCAUUAUUAGGUCACUGAUGACUGACCUCCAUAUACCAUUGCAAUCUUGCCCUUUCAUUGAAUUCCCCAUAGAUGGAAAUGCCCCCACAUAAUCGCCAUAGAAGUCUGCAUGGCAGCUAAAUGAUGAUUACAUGGAUGUCGCUACCCAAUGUUGGAGGAAUUUAACAGAAAGAAUAAGAUAGCUAUGAAUGUAUUGGUUGGGGACCUCAUUGUAACAAAUGAAAGGGCAGGGACCAAACUGUAAUUGUUACAACUUGCAAUGAAGAGUUUGAAAUUUUCUUUAAAAACAGAAAAAAAAACUAACUAAAUCAGGAUGGAUGAGACAAAGAGAACCUUCAAGAGAAAGCAGUGGAUUACUUUACCCUUUGAUCCGACUAAGAGACAGAUUCUGCACUGGAUGAGAGGGCCUGCUAAAUUACAUCUUUGGCUUCUCUUACAACAGGUGACGAUUGUGUCUCCAUCCAAACAGGCUGCACCAAUGUCAACAUUCACAAUGUAAACUGUGGACCCGGCCAUGGAAUCAGCAUCGGUGGGCUAGGCAGGGAUAAUACCAAAGCUUGUGUCUCCAACAUCACAGUAAGAGAUAUCACCAUGCACAACACAAUGACUGGUGUCAGAAUUAAGACCUGGCAGGUAACUCAGAGUUGAAUUCCCUAGAAAACAAAUUUCAAUCCCUAAGUGCACAUCUGGCAAGGUUUAUGUUCUUGCUUUUGUUUUUUUCACUUGAGUUCUAUAUUAUCAAAGGCACCUAGGAAUCAACAAAUCUAAGUUCCACUUUCGGUGUUUUGUUAGUGCUACUUAAUUUGUAAAAUCAUUAAAAAAAUAAAUAAAUAAAAAGGUUCUUGUUCUUCUCUCUUAUUGUUUUCUGUCAUCAAACAAACCAUAGAGAUAUAGAGGUUGCAAAAGACAUCACCAUGCACAACACAAUGACCGGUGUCAGAAUUAAGACCUGGCAGGUAACUCAGAGUUGAAUUCCCUAGAAAACAAAUUUCAAUCCCUAAGUGCACAUCUGGCAAGGUUUAUGUUCUUGCUUUUGUUUUUUUCACUUGAGUUCUAUAUUAUCAGAGGCACCUAGGAAUCAACAAAUCUAAGUUUCACUUUCCGUGUUUUGUUAGUGCUACUUAAUUUGUAAAAUCAUUAAAAAAAUAAAUAAAUAAAAAGGUUCAUGUUCUUCUCUCUUAUUGUUUUCUGUCAUCAAACAAACCAUAGAGAUAUAGAGCUUGCAAACAAUCUGAAAUAGCAAAAUUAAAAAAAAUCAUCCCACAGUGCCUUUUUAAUCAGAGCAAUGCUACUUUACACAAAAAAAGUGGGUAAAAAUCUUACACCUUACCCAUUUAAGGGCCAAUAUUUCCACACAAGCCAUCAAUCCUUUGUUUUUUUUAAUAUUAAAAAACCAAACGAGAUGUCUAAACUCUUGGAUGGGUGGUAGUAAGAUUUAAACCCCACAUAGACAAUGCCAAAAGAGCACUAAACAUCUUUCUUAUUAAUCAUCGAUACCCUUCCGUUGCUUAUUCUACAAGAUAUUCUAAAGAAACAACCUCUCCUUGCAGGGCGGCUCGGGCUCUGUACAAGGCGUAAGGUUCUCAAACAUAAGAGUCUCCGAAGUCCAAACACCAAUCAUCAUAGACCAGUUCUACUGUGACAGGAGAACCUGCAAGAACCAGACGUCGGCGGUAGCAGUAUCAGGUGUUGCGUACGAGAACAUCAGAGGGACAUUUACAGUUAAACCAGUUCAUUUUGCAUGCAGUGAUAAUUUACCUUGCUCUGAUAUAACAUUAAAUGAGGUCGAGCUCGAGCCACUUCAAGAACAGUACCACAUGUAUGAACCCUUCUGCUGGGAAGCCUAUGGGGAGCUGUACACAGAACCUGUUCCGCCGAUACCUUGCUUGCAAAAUGGGAAACCGAUGAGCAACAGAAUCCAGUCGGAUCACGAUACUUGCUGAGGGGCAUGGCUUACUAAGUUUGGUGAUAUUGGUGUUUACUUAUGUGCGGUCGUUGUGAUUAUUCCGACCCCUUUCGCACCAUUGCUUCAGGGUAAAUAUAUAUGAGAGUAUGCAGUUGUUACUGUUACCCAAUUCUGAUGGUUUACAUUGCUUCCCUUUCAAGGGAUAUAGAGAGAUUUAAGUUUCUUAAGGGAAGUGUCGGGUUCAGCAUCUCUGAAGAUGCAUACAGGAGCUUCGUUUGGGGAAGGUGAAUUCCUUGUAUAUGGAAAAUUGAAAUAUAUAUAUAGUAGGGCUACUAUAUUCUUAUGAGUACGGAGGCCUUCGUACUAUAUAUAUAUAUGUUUUGUCUCGAAUUCUUAAUUAAGUGACUACAAGAGCAUAAUGGAAUUCUGGAAGGUAGGUAGUUCAGCACAGAUUGAUUCUACAUGAGCAUAAUUGAAUCCUUUUAAGUUGCAACCAAAAUAAUGGUCUGAUAUAAAUUACCAGUGAAGAAAGUUCUCUGAUAAUCAGAUAAUAGCCACAUAAAGGAAAAGAAAGAAAAUGGUUCCCCAUAGGUGAAUCAAAAGCUCAAAAAUAGAAUUGACAAUUAAGACAAGACAAAAAAAAGCACCAAUAACCAUUGAAAAAACAUAGGCAUUACGACAAUCCUUUUUAUACAUAAGAUGUUACUUUAUCAAAGUUUCGAUUAGAGGUGUAAGAACUUCCUCUGCUCUAUAUACUAUAUUGAAGAAUAAAAAUCAGUCAGCAGACGGAUAACAAAAUCGACAACUAUCAGAACACAGAGAAUAAUGUGCUCUCCUUUGCAUAUUAGCAUAUCAGAAUGAGUGGGUUCCUGAAACAGCUGAAAAAAAAAAUUUCAUAAAGUCAAACUCUCAUAACUUGGGAACGGAUUUAUAUCUCAUAAUUACUACCUUUGAGAUAUGUGACAUAACCAAACUGAACAAAACCAAUUGAAGAGUGAAAAAACUAAAACUGGCAACAUAAUAGAUUCUUAGAAUAAAAUUUUGCAGACUUUUAUUGAGGGUGCUACUAUCUUAAUUUGUAAGCUCUCCCACUCAUUUUAUUCUUUAAAUGUUGAACCAUCUUUAAGGCUUUAUCCAACUCCUAUUAUCGACCAUUCCAACUAACCGUCACUCCCAUGCUUAACAAUAAUAUGAACAAAUCUCUUGAUGCUAUGAUGCCUAUUUGCUCUACCAGCAAUAUCUAUACCAAAUUGGUCAUAGAGCAAAAGAGGCUUGCAUUAGGUAACUUGACCAUUAGAAUAAUACAAUGAUAUGGAUCAUAACAAAACAUUCUUCGAUUAGGAGGUUACCCUUCUAACAAAUUGCACCAAGACAAUUCUAAUGCAGCAACGGCCAAGCUGUCGGACCAAUUGUCUCAAUGCUUGGAUACAGUAAGAUAUAGCAAAGAGUUCUCUCACAAUCCAAGAUGAGCAUAAGUAAAAAAAAAAGGUACGGAAAAAACUAGGAAACUUAAUGACUAAUAAUUGUGAGGCAAUCGAGUGAAAUAUGGGUGUACAAAACAAAAUGGAUAUAAAAAUCUAAUUCACCGAAAAGAAACUAAUAGAUGCACUCCAGCCAAAAGACUACUAGCUAGAAGUAUUAUUGGACAAAUAUUUGUCACAGAUCCAUCAAAGUAUUUCAUUCACUACUAGUUGGCACUUCGUUAUGCAUAAGCAACAGAUGCAAUUGCCAAUUUACAACAUUCAGGAAAAUCUAUGUCAAACAUAUAAUUAAAAUCUAAGAACUCUAGCUAAAAGAAAUAAGCUAUCUCAAGAUUUCUGACUAUGGCCUAUAUGGAAGGAGAAGAAAUCAUAUUAAAAGAAUAGAAAUGCUUACAGUGUUGAUUAUACAAACCUCAUGAUCAAGGCAUACAAAUGUUUAUAACAAUUAGCUACUUAAAAAAAAGAUAUUUAUAAAAUAAAGCAGAUAAAAGAAGGUGCUUGGAAAACAGUGAUAUAACUGCAAAAAAUACAAUAAGAUUACAUCUAUGAUAAGAUUUCCGAAGCAUCAAUAAUAAGAAUGCAGUUCCAACAUGUUAGAAAGUAAAAAUUUGCUACUACAACUAGAUGCCAGUAUAUGGAAUAAAUAGCCAACUGGUUCAGAAACCAUUCUAUUUAGCCAACCUUUGGUAAAAUCUUCACCCAACAGUUUCAUUGUCCUGUAGAUAGAAGAUAAACCAAGGAGAGAGCAGCUAACCAAGAAGAAGGACUUGCUAAUGAAUCAGCGUUGUGAAAAUCCAACAGCCGCCUUUCUCUUUUGAUUGUUACUAACUGAUUCAGGGGUUGGUAGCCCUGUUCUGCUCUCAUACUUCUUUUCCAGAUCCUGUUGCCAAAUAAAGAAAUUAUAAAUAGGGAAGUUGUAGAAUUAAUGUCAUAAGAGCAAAGUAAAUGGACCAGAUGAAGGCACGAAGAAUUAAUGUCAUAAGAGCAAAGGAAAUGGACCAGAUGAAGGCACAAAGUAAUCAAAUUUGUAAGAGUCAAAGAUCUUUGGUUUGCCAGAAUUCAUUCUGACAAUUAAGAAAUUUCCAUUUCACAUGUGGAAAAAAAAAUAAUGAAAAAUGUAUUUUCAAAAAUAGUCUCAUUAAUCGAGUGAAAUAUAUCUAUAACGAAAUCAAUACUUAUAAAUACUAACCUGUAGUUGGGACUGAAUGCUUUCAAGGACAUCAUCAGUCAUUCUAUCAAUAAAAAGAACCCCCUGCAAACCCACAACAAGGAUAUAAAUAGAAACAAGAUCAAAACCAAAGAGAGCAUAAUAUUUCUUCACCAAAAUUAUGCAACUGCAACAUACGGAAAUUAAUUUAUUCACAAAAAGGUAAACCAGAAUUUCUUUUCAAACUAUUAAAUAAUCUUCAGGUCUGAAUUUUCCAACAAUUAAAAAGUAAAUGAAACAAGCAAUCCUCGUGUGACCACGAUAUCAAGCUUCUAGCAUAAUUAGGAGAUGGAAAGUCAUAUGCACUAAAUUUUUCUUACCCAUCCGUGAAUUUUCACCAAGACUCAUCAUGGUCACGCUAAGUGUAACUAAAAUAUGAGAAAGUAGCAUGCAACAACGUCAAUUGUAUAUAGUACCUUCAGAUGAUCAAACUCAUGCUGGAAUACUCGUGCAGGAAGGCCUGACAAACUAACUUUAAACUUCGCUCCAGUUAUAUCUCGAGCAUCAAUUUUCACAGAUGCAGGUCUCUGAACGGAGAAACAAGAAAAUUUGUGGAAGAUUAAUUUCCUUCAUCAACUCUGUUAAUAAGUUUAACAGCAAAAUAGUAGAUCACACUUAAGGUGAGAAAAUGAUAACUACCAUUCUUAUCAACUGAAACAGAAUAACAACCAAAAAAUGAAACAAAACUAAAUCUUAAAAAACAAAAAAAGAUUUUGCAUGCAAGAAUCCACAGAUGAAAUUUUGAUUUUGUUUUAGACUAUCAGAGGGUUUGAAUCAGAAAGGUUAGUAAGUGAUGUCAUUCAGAUGACAGGAUGCAAACUCGAUAAUACUUAUCUAGGAUGCUAUGGUAUGGUUUACUAAUUUGAGAAAAACAAUGUGAAUUGGAAUUUAAUUAAAACUAGAAGAGACAAUACAAAUAAAGAAAGCAAAACUAAUUCACAAGGCAAUCAUAGAAGACUUUCCUACCAAACCUCAAAAGGCCAUAAGUUUUCCACAAAUCAAAAAAAAAAAGUACCACUUUUCAAAUAUACCAAGGGAAGAAAGUGAUCAACCAGUACCAAAAAGUUAAACCAUUAUUCGAGAUUUACCAAUUAUGUAACUCAGCACUUGAUUAAAAUUUGUUGUCCAGGUCGACAGAGAUUAUUUGUUUAAUUUCAAUUAUCAUAGACAAGAAAUUAAAAAGUUUAUAUGAAAUUACAAACUGUAAUAGUCUCUGCUUGUAUGCAGCUCCUCACAAGAUAUCUAAAGAAGUCGUAGAUAAACAGAUGAACUGCGUCUUUUAGAUUUAUGUUGCAUUAGUAGUUUGUGAUUGAUUCGAGCAGGAAACUAAAGAGACCAGGAGAAGCAAUGUGGGAUAGGUGUGGGUCCUAGAAAUUAGAGGAAAUCGCCUCUGGCAUUUGAGAGAAGGAGGGAUAUCUUUCAUACUUUGAAAAAAUAAUAAUUUAGAAAAUAGCGACCUUAGCCAUCUAGGCUUGCAUAGGCUUAUGCAGUUCUCUCAACAACAAUGGAUUAUUAUUAGAUGCUGUGAAUUGAAGCAGUUUAAUGACCUGCAAUCUUCUCAUUUACAUAUGAUAGCAUUAGUUGUUGCGAAUUAAGUUUCCAAAGAAUUUCUAAAGCUUUUCUGAAUUGAUCGCAGAAAAGAAAUCACUGCAUCUAGAUAUUGUCAUCUCGAUUUCUUGAUCAAAAUAACAGGAUUAGGAUUAUAAACAGUGCAUUGCAAGGAAUAUGAAAAGGUAAUGUAAGGUCCUUUUAAGUCACUGCACCACAAAAUCAGCAAAGAACAACAGCCACAAAAAUGGGUAGACAAGCAACACAGGCGAUUCUUACCUCUACAUCUGCAUAUAUUCCUGGAAAUGAUAAGCAACCUUCAUCAUAAAAAAGAGUCUUUUUUGAUGCUUUAUAUAACACUGGAUUCACAAGAACAAUCUCCUCUCCUUCUCCACGCUCACCGGCGGGAUUAAAUACCAUGAGAUGAACAUUAAUUCCAACUUGAGGUGCUGAGAGACCAAUCCCAUCAGUUCUGCAUAUGCCAAACAGGAAAAAAUAUAUAUAUCUCUUUAAAUAUUUAUUCAAGAAUUACUCACAAGAAUAUACUGAUUAUUUUUAGGUAAAAAUGCGUAAAGGUAAUCCGAACUACGAGCCUUUGCAAACGGGUGCCUCAACUUUAAAAGUAUCUAUUUCACCUAACCUUUCUGAGAUUCUAAUUGUAGCACCUCACCGGACUUUUUUUAUAAAACAACCCUCUAGAAUUUUAAAAUUUACGAAAUAAUCCUCUCAAAAUUUUAUUUAGAAAACUAACCCUCCUUUCGCCACAUCGGCGCCACAUCAUAAUUUCUUUUAAAGGCGGUGAAUCGUUUUCCGCUUUCUUCCAUUUCUUUUAAAGGCGGUGAAUCGUUCUCCGCUUUCUCCCAUUUCUUUUAAAGGCGGUGAAUCGUUCCCCGCUUUCUCCCAUUUCUUUUAAAGGCGGUGAAUGAUUGACCGCCUUUCACUUAUUUACUAUAUAAUCCUAACAACCACAAAAAAUUUUAACAAAUCACAUAUAAUCUUAACAACUUUUAAAUCCUAAUAAUUUAUCCAUAUAAUUUCAUACAAUCUUAACAGCCUGAAAAUCCUAAUAAUCUAUCCAUACAAUUCUAAUAAUCAAAUAAAAAUUCUAAUAAUCUACAUAUAAUCCUAACAAUCUCACUUUUAAUGAAUGCGGUGAACGAUUCACCGCCUUUAAAAGAAAUGGAGAAAGCGGGGAACGAUUCACCACUUUUAAAACGAUUCACCGCCUUUAAAAGAAAUGGGAGAAAACGGGAAACGAUUCAUCGCCUUUAAAAAAAAUUCUGACAUGGCGCCGGCGUUGCGAAAGGAGGGUUAGUUUUCCAAAUAAAAUUUUGACAGGGCCAUUUUGCAAAUUCUAAAUUUUUACAGGGUUAUUUUAUAAAAAAGUCCCACCUCACCAUUGUUCGCAAUUGCUCUAGAUAUUAUUGCCUGCAAGCAAUGCAUUCGUAUAUCCGUCUACCACUCCACUAUCUGCCUUUCAUCGCAUUUCACACUCCAAUAUCUAUCACUCACCUCGUUGAAACCUUUCUCCGUUUAAAAUUUGCAUAGUUUCGAAUGUGAUGCAGUGGAAGUGUAAGAUGAGAGGCGAGUGCAAACAAUGGUUCUCGAGCUGUUUGUGCUUGUAGUAGCUGAGUAUUAAAAUCUAAGUUUCAGACAAUUACGUACUAAAACGCAAAUUUUUUAAGUUAUGUAUCAAGCAAACAUUAACUGCAAGUUCAGCUCUCUAUGCAGGGUUUUAUGCUCUCAGAACAUUCCAAAAAUCUCAAAUUUAAUUUUUUUUAAAAAAUUGAAAAGCGAUUAGAGACUCACUUGUACAUAACAUCAAACAUCUCUUGGACAAGCCUCUUUAGGUUUUCAUCGAACGUAUUGAUCCGCUUGUUCCUCGCUCUCAGCAUCGGAUCGGGAUACUCCACGAUCCUCAACGGCGUCUCGAAGCGCAGAUCCGCGGCUAUAGAAGCAACCCAACACAAAAAUCUCACCAAACUUAUCAAAAAAAAAAGUGGGGGGGGGGGGGGGGGGGGGGAGUGCACAACUGCUCCGUGCCGAGAGCGAUGAAGCGGCAUACGAGAGGCCGUAGUCGUCGUGGCGACGAAUUGGGAGGAGAAGCCCGCGGCGCGCGUGGGCGGAGAACGCCAUGGGAGGGGGUGAGAGAGAGGAAGAGGGAAAAGGGCGCAGGGAGAGGGAGAGGGUUGUGAGAGAGGGCGAAGUGGAGCGGAGAGAGAAAGGGAGAGAGGGCGCAGUGAGAAGAGGCGUGAAGAUAGAGAGUCGCCGGGGAGGCGGCCGUGGGCGAGGCGUGGAGUCCGCGUUCGCCAUUCGUGCUCUUUUCGUGACAAUCAAGGUUGUUAGAUACCGAUUUUUAAUCUUAUUGAGCGAAAAUAUACGAAAACCCUCUCAGCUUUGUCUAUUUUGUAUCACAACUCCUCGACGAUCUUUUUAAACUUAUUUACUGAGGUUUUUCAAUAUCUGGUGUUUUUUGCACUGUACUUUUAAAAAAACUAAUUUUUUAAACUUUUAUUAAAGAAGGAGUAAUUCAUGAACGUUGUCAACGACUAAUAGUAAAUUUUUUUUUUCAAAAAAUGCAAAAUUAUAGCAACUCCUCCUUAUCAUAACUUAGCCUGAUUACUUAGCCAUUUGAAUUUUAAAUUGUAAAAAGGGUCAGCAUAAACCUUCAACAGUAGUAUUUAAAAAAAAAAUUAUUAUUGUUUAUUCAGCAAAUACAUUAUAAAGUAAUUAAUUAUAAUAAAAAUAAUAAUAAUAAUUACGAACAUAUCGAAUACAUAAAAAUAUAUAUUUGUGUACGCUACCUCAUGAAAUAAUUUGUAAACCUUUAUACCCGACAUACACACUCAAAAUUUUCUAAAAAAAUUAAGAAUACAAACCCUUAAUAUAAAAUUGUGAGUAAAAAUUAAAUUUUCGAGAAGCAAUCUUGAUAAUAACCACAACAGUAGCUUUCUCAAGUUUUAAUUCUUGAGAAAAUAAUUAAAAUAAGAUAAAAAAUAUAUAUAAUUUAUUUAAACUAUAAAUUAUUUUGAGUUGACUAUUUAAUCUUUUAUAAUUUUAUUUUUAUUAGCUAUUUUUUUAUUUUAUUUAAUCAGAGCCAGUCAACUUUUUAUAAAUUUAAUUAGUAUAAAUUGACUUUAAAAUAUUAUUGACUGAUUUGAAGUAAUAAUUUUUAAAAAAAAAUGGAUAGUAAAAUUAAUUAAUUAAAAUUUAAAAAGGUGAAAUUGCUAAUUCAAACUUCAAAGUGUUCUACGGUUGACAAGUUAUGCGUUCUACAGUUGUGGGCUUAUCACGUUGUCCCCGUAUCUUAUCCGAAACACUCGAUAAACCCCGCCAAUGUCCCCUCCCUCUUCAACCUCUUCGUCCUCUUCCUCCCGCAACCCUAAACCCCCUCUAUCCUUCGCACUACCGAGCUCCUCCCAUGGCGAAGAACCCCGAGAAGAGGAAGGAGCUCACCUCCGUGGAGAGGAGAGUGGCGCGCAUCGCCAGCCACCUCCUCCCUUCUAUCUCUCCCCUCUCUCCCGCGCCUCCGAUCGUGCGAUCCGUGGCUUCGGCCGAGGACAGCUACAGGCGCGUCCAUGGCGAGGUCUCGGCGAAGGAGGCCGCGUGGAGAGAGGUGUGCGAUGAUGAGUCGGGGAAGGGGUUCGUCGACAUUAUCUAUGAGAAAGCCCUCGGGGAAGGGAUCGCCAAGGUAUUGUAAUAGAGAUGGUUCUCGAUUUCUUUUUUUUUCCGUUAAAUAUAUAACUGUUUGUUGAACGAGAUGUAAGUGUAUUCCUUAUUUUGAAAUGUUAAACUCAAAUUGAAAAAUGCAAAUAAGAGCAAAUUAAGCUUCAGGGGUUUACUUCAAAAUGGAUUAUAUUACCCUUUUUUUUAAUGUUAGAUUCCCAUUCUUUAUUUCUUAUGCUCUUCAAACGUUCGCCUAAGGUAUCAAAAGAAAAGAAAAAAAAGGGGGGGGAAUGGGAACUUUUUGCACAAUAUCCUGGCUAAUUUUGACAGUCGUACUAUGUGAACAUCAAUAUUGAUAUAAGCGAGUACCAAAAUGGACAGUGUCAUUUUGGUUGUUAACAGUCACUGUUCUUUUCCAGGUACAAUGUUUGUUGAUUUCUUUUGGUAUAUUUCAUUGUAUUCAAUUUCAUUCCAAUGUGCAUAUAUUUGCACAUGUUCUGGUGAUUUUUGAUUAUUUGACAUGAAGAACUACAAAAUAGGAAACAUAAUGUCCAAUUUCUGUGUAUAGUAUAAUCUGUUAGUCUAAGAACUAAAAUUGCGAAUGACUAAAGCAAUAGAUGUUCCCUGAACUUGUUUAUAUGAUUUCCUUCGGAAAAAAAUGCUUGUAUGAUGAAAAAUAUUCUCAUAUUUCAUAGGAUAGUUCAAACUUGUUGAUACAACAUCUGGUAGCCUGGUAAGUUAUCUAAAUUUUGCACUUUUCUGGAUCUUUCUUACAAAAAAAAAAAAGUCCUGGAUCUAUAUAUUUAUACUUUUGUUUCUUUUAUUUCUCCAGAUCACAAUCAAUCGUCCAGAAAGAAGAAAUGCUUUCCGGCCCCUAACAGUUAAAGAGCUUAUGCGUGCAUUCAACGAUGCUAGGGAUGACAGUACAAUUGGUGUCGUCAUUUUGACAGGAAAGGUAUAUGAUAUUUAAAUAGAUGGCCUUGUGAUAAACGUUUUUAGAUCUCAAUUUUUAAAUUCUUCAAUUUGAUACUAUAAUUUUGUGAUUGUUAAGUUCCACAAUAAAUACUAGGAACUUCACUGCAUACACACACCCUCAUGUGAAUUGAGAAAAAGAAUUAAAAUGUUUGUGAUAUAAAUUCCAUAGGACUGAGCAACUCUGACUGAUAGCUCAGGAAAAUACCUUUUUGUGCCUUUUUAGCCUUUUCUGCUUUUCUCUGCAGAUGGCUACCGUUGGAAUACCUUACCAACUUUGAAUUUUGCAGCCUCCAUAGGAGUGCAAAGCAUCAAUAAUUACUUUACCUUUUCCAUAUAAUAACUCUUAUGCCAAUGCCAUUGUUUACUUUUAACUUAGGGAACCAAGGCCUUUUGCAGUGGUGGUGACCAAGCAUUGAGGAGUUCUGAUGGAUAUGCUGAUUUUGACAGUUUUGGUCGUCUGAAUGUAUUGGAUCUUCAGGUAGAUAUCCUUGUUCUUAUUUUCAUAGAUUUCCUGUUGUUCCUCUUCUUUAAUUGUAUACUAGUAAAUGAGACUUAGGCCAUCAUGAUUCUUGCGUGAGGCUUACGACAAAAAUGUGUUUCUUAGAGGACUAUAGUCUAUAAUCAUUGCGCAUAUUGUUCAUGACAAAUGAGUUGCGUUAAGUACUUCUGAUAUUUUCGAUGCGCUGAGCUUUCAUUGUUAUUUCAGUCUGCAACACAAUGUUUUUGCAUUGAAUUUUGUCACCUUUUCUUUGUUUGCAGAUCUGUUAGUUGAUUGUUGGAAAGUUUGCAUACUUUUACUAAGUGGACGAUAUCCUCAUAAUAAGUGUACUUACAUAUGCCUUGUUCUAGGAAUAGUCUGAGAAGAGGGUCGAUCAGAAAAAUGUUAGUAUAAAGAUAGUAAACAUCUUCUGCCAUUAUAAGACUGAUCUUCUUUUGACGAUGACCUUUCCGCAUAAGAGGAUCUUCUAGUGAAAACUGUGCUAUUUUGAUUCGCUCGCUACUUUACAUCUUUCUGUAAGUUCCAUCUGACUGCUUCAAUAGUUUAAUGAGCAGUCAUCCAGUAAGUAAUAAAUUAUACUUACGGGCUAUCGUCUUUUUACAGGUACAGAUUCGCCGUCUCCCUAAACCAGUCAUCGCGAUGGUAUGAUUAUCACUUUCAAUAUUCUGUAUGCUUAAAUUUUCCUCUCUUUUUUUCCCAAUUAAAUAAUUGACACUCUUAUUUAUGAUUAGGUGGCAGGUUAUGCUGUAGGCGGUGGACACAUAUUACACAUGGUCUGCGAUCUAACAAUUGCAGCUGACAAUGCAGUUUUUGGUCAGACUGGCCCUAAGGUGGCUAUCAUAUCUUUAUUAUUAUCAUUCCUGAAGAAUACUUUGUCUGUUUGUGAAUAAAGUAAAUGUUAGUUAUUUUGAAUAAACAUCAUUGUUGGAAAUGUGAGGUAUCUACUAACCUUAUAGUUAGACAACUUGUGAAAAAUCAGCUACAUGUAACAUACGGGCAUUUCUUAUGCAAGUGGUUUUUUUUUCUUUUUUUCCAAAAUCAUAUUUCCUGGGUGUGCAGAGUUAUCUCUACUUUUAAAAGUCAUCACUAUUGCAUGUGCUUAGGCAGAUAUAUCCGGAUAUUUGGUAUUAAGACAUGAUUGUUGGGCUCCAUCUAUGUAAUAAACAGCUUGUAGGAAAUCUCAGUCAUGAAUCAUGUCAAAUGUGAUGUUGGGGAUCAAUAACUACCGUGUUUAUUGAACUCGUAUGGAUAUUACUCCAUAUAGUCUCUUUUGUGCGAGUUAGUUAGGGGAAGAUACAAAGGUCUUGAAGCGUUGACAGUGAAACAAACCAGUCAGGACUCUUGGAAAAUCAUAAAUUUAGAAAGUUCAAUUUUAUGGAGAAUAGUUGGAAUCACAUUAUUCAGGAUUUAUGAGUUAUAACAACAUAAUUACUGAAGAGUUAAUAAAUUAGUAGUGAUAUGGUUUCUCCUAUCUUGAUGUGUGAUAUAUUGUCAGGUUCAAUCAAAUUGACUGUCACCAUGUUCCCAAAUGUUUCAUCAGCAUGCAUUCGAUUUGAAUAAACAUCAUUGUUAGUUAUUUUGAAUAAACAUCAUUGUUGAUCUUUUUUGUUUUGUAAUGUCUUAUUGCAGGUUGGAAGCUUCGAUGCUGGUUAUGGUUCCUCGAUCAUGUCCCGCUUGGUAAGCUAAAAAUUUGAGGUAGGUGAGUUUCAUGAUAUAUGGCUACCUCUUGCAAAGAGAAUCAGUAUUGAUGUUAUUAUAGCAAGCCUCCUUGUUAGCGUUCUUGCAGAUGAUAUGUCGAGUGUUUACUUCAUCACAAAGGAUAAUUUUGAAACUAAUCAUUCUUUUAUAUGUCAUAUUUUUACAAUGAAUCCUUUUAUAUACUACCUAUUUAUUAUGUUUUCUACUGCAUGUUUUCAUGUUUGGCCAGGUUGGACCAAAGAAAGCACGAGAAAUGUGGUUCCUCUCGCGAUUUUACACUGCUUAUGAAGCAGAGAAAAUGGGACUCAUAAAUGUGGUAGUGCCAGUAAGUUCGCGAAAGAAAACACUAGUUUCCUGUAUCGUCUCUUAUACUAACACUUCUCAGGGACUAGACUGUACAAAUGCAAAUCUGGUGUCUUUACUAAUAUGGUCUUUUUCUUUUUAUUGAGGAUAAUUUACUCGUAUGAUCAUUACCAGCCAAAGAGUCAGCUUUAAAUACACUGCUUAAUCUCGUCUAGUUUAUAAAUUCAAAUUUUAUUUAAGUUUUUGAAAAUUUUCUCACAUUUGUCAACCCAGGUUCUCCCCUUAAUUUUUUUCUGUCUCAAUUUUCAUAAGAUUUGGCUUACCAUCAUCAAAGUCUGGCACCUCUACAUCCUCCUCUACAAAGAAUCACUCAUUCUUGAAUAGUCUUAUACAUACGGGUUGGCCUGUACUUGUUUAAGGAUUCACUGUAUAUUCAAUGAUUCCCUAUAUGUCCUACCUGAAAGACAGAAAGUCUCGUCCUUAGGCAAUCCACAUGCAUCCUUACUGUCAGUUGGUCAUAUUCAAGAAAUAUGUUGCUUAAUGUCAAGAUAAAAAUAAAAAAUAAAAAAAGAAGGAUGCUGCUAUCCUAUGACCGAUCGCCUCAUUAGUCCAGAAUAUCUACAAAUUUAUUGAAAUAAAUUUUAUAUUUACACUGAAAAAAAAAAAAAAAGUUCAUGUGAUUGACCCUCAAAAAGAAGCAAGUUCCUGUAAAUUUGUGGAUUGCGUAGUAUUGGUGGCAACUGGCUACAAUUUUGUCUCAGAUGUGCUGACUGAUUAUAUCCUUUUCUCUUUGUAGCUUGAGAUAUUAGAGCAGGAAACGCUUAAAUGGUGCCGGGAAAUUUUGCGGAACAGCCCAACAGCCAUCCGGGUGCUCAAAUCUGCUCUUAACGCUGUAGACGAUGGCCAUGCCGGUCUUCAGGUACUCUCUGUGCUGUAUAAGUUUGGUCUACAAAUAGCACAAUGGUUUUAUACCAUAAAGAAAUAACACUUUGAUUUAAGGUUCGAUGGUUUAAUUUGUUUUGGGUGGAUUCUGCCAUUCCAUCUCUGAGAAAAAUCAUUGGCUACCAGUUUAACUUUGAUGCAACUAAUUGAGGCAUAAUGAAAAUAUUUGCCUUUUCCGUGCUAUAAAGAAAAGAAAAUGAAGGAUACUGAUGGAGAAUGAACCAAAAUUUGAAAAAUCUGUCUAGUUUGUAUUGUUUGCGCCGUAUUCAAUUUCUUGAGUGCAAUACGAGAAGCUGCUGUAUGCAUAAACUUUACAUAGCGAAAAUGUUAUCCACAUGAUUAUACACAAUAUUUACACUGCACUGAGAGUGUUUAGAUUUAUAGCUUCUGUUUGACAUGCAAGAGCAGUUGCCGAUCUUUGCGCUCAGUCCCUCAGAUUACAGUUGAAUGCUAGAUUAUCAUUUUUCUAGAAAAUCACGCAAAAAUGAUCUGAGCUUGCCACAUUUUUGCUCCCCCUCUCCUUUCUACUGGCACUGCAAGUCUUCAGUAUUUUCCAGUUAAAUUCUUCCCUGAUGCAGGAGCUUGGUGGGAAUGCAACACUCAUCUUUUAUGGCACGGAAGAGGCAAAUGAAGGAAAGACGGCUUACAUGGAGCGGCGACGUCCCGAUUUCUCAAAAUUUCCAAGGAAACCUUAAUGCCUCGUUCUGAUUCUCAUCUCUUAUUUACUUUGUUGUAUGAGAAGUUGCAUGAACGGAGCUCUAAAUCUUUUUUUGUAUUUUAGUAAAUAUAUUAUUCAAUAACAAAAUCAGCUAGAUCAAUAACAUUAUCUUUGUUUAAGCACAGCACCAUUGUUUUGUCUUCUUUUCUUUUUUGUCGGUGUGAAGUGUAAUAUAAAGACAUUAAUAUCAGCAAAAUAUCAUGGUUUUGUUUUUUUGAAAAAGAUUGAGUAAAAUUCAACAACUUUUUAGUGAAAGUUUCCGUCGUGGACUUUUUAACAUUUAUUUUUUUAAUAAAGGUUUUUUUUUUUAUAUAUAUAACUUGGUUUGAUGAGAUCGCGAGGCAAAUCACCAAAUGUCGAUUCGCGCGUACUACGGCAUCGUCGGUUUUAUCCACUUCACAAAUCUCGUACGCCACGUCAGCAUUGCAACUACUGUAUUCCACGUGGCAAACUAUCAUUCGCGGAUUCAAUGUUUCGUGUUCGGGUACAUUGUAGGAGAUCAACCAUCCACGUCCUCUCCCACCGCCUCUUCCAUCCGUUGUUCUAUAACUUACGCCGAAGCGGUGAAUAAAGUAGAAACCGAGAAAGCUCGGAAAAGGGCGAAACGAUGCUUAGGGCUACGGGAAAGAGGUUGCUAGGGUUAGGGUUAGGGUUUCCGCAGCGGGCCUCGCCUGCUGGCGGCGCCGCCGCCGCUGUGGGCGGAGCUCCGGCGGCGAUCCGGGGAUACCAUGAGAGAGUGGUGGACCACUACAACAACCCUAGGAACGUGGGGUCCUUCGACAAGGACGACCCCGCGGUGGGGACGGGGUUGGUGGGGGCUCCUGCGUGCGGCGACGUGAUGAAGCUCCAAAUCAAGGUCGACGAGGAGUCGGGUAAGAUCGUCGACGCGUGCUUCAAGACCUUCGGAUGCGGCUCCGCGAUCGCCUCCUCCUCUGUUGGUUCGUAACAUCUUCGUGUUUGAAAUCGAUUUCUUUUUUUUUUAUUUUUUGGUUUCGAUCUCUUGCAGUUCCGUACUGUUUUGAUUUGCUAUGCUGUAAAUUUAGUUGCUUUUGCUUUUCGUUUCAAUCAGUGGCGUAUUUUAAGAAUAGAAUUAUUGUGAGGGGAGUUGAUUUGGAUUCAAAUUGAGCACAGGUUUUGUUAAGAAUGGAAUUAUUGUUAGGAAACUGAGUAGCGAGUACUCUGGUUUCUUUGAAUUGAUGUAACAACUGAUGAAACAUUUCUGAGAACUGCUCUUUCCUAAUUUUUAUUUACCUAAAACCGGAAAAAGAAAAUUAUGUGCUAAUCCCUGUGUUAUUGCUGCAGUGAUGAGAAGUUUUGGAUUGAAUUGUAUUGCUUGUUCCUCUGUUUUCAUCAUAUUAUUACUCGAUCCCUGAACUUCUCUCUUUAAUGAUUUAGUUCCUGAAUGUUUUCAUUACGAAGGGAUUCAACAAUUGCACUCUUAGCUCUUAUCUGCUAGUCCAAAAUAUCUUAAUUCUUUGCUUCAUGAUGCCCCAUUCCCAGUGUUGGGUUAAUUCUGGCUCUUUUCAAUCAACUGAAUUUGUAAAUCACUCCAUAGUAAAAUUGGAACAAUGUUUUAAUAGUCAAUUUGUAGAAAGAGGGUAUUAUGAAAUGAAUUUCAGUUUUGUACGGCAAACAGGGACGGCGAACUGCAAAUUGUAUUAAAGAUAAGCCUCUAAAUGUUUAAGCCAAAAAUUCAGGGACUAGAUCAGGAUAUUUCAGAAGUUCAUGUGCAUUUUACUCUCAAAUUUUUAUAAGAUUUCUGUUAUGUCUUCUGGCCUGGUGAUGCUGGUUUGGUUUUGCUGCAGCUACUGAAUGGGUGAAAGGAAAACAAAUGGAGGAAGUAGUGUCCAUAAAAAACACGUGAGUCCUGCUCACCUUAUGCUCUCUUAGUACUUAAUGCCCUUUUUCAAUUAUUGUCGAGUGUAAAGAGUUUCUUUUUAUUUUUUGCAUGAUGAAAUCUACUUGAUAGAUGUCUUCUUUUCUUGUUUUUUACUUUAUUCAAACUUCUUAAUUUUUCUACCUUAUAUAGAUGUGGUGAUGGAAAUUUGAAAUCUUAUUUUGCGGAUGGCAAGAAUAGAACCUAAAACAUGAGAUUACUACAGUUCAAGAAAGAAAGAAAGAAAGAAAAGGAAAGAAAAAAAAAUGAUUACAAAAAAUGAAGUGUUGUGUCCUUUUUCAUGGAAGAUGCCCUUUGUAGUGAACAAAAAUCAUGUCUUUGUAUGCUGCAUCCGCAGAGGAUAACACUUAGUCUGACUUAUUAGCUUUACUAUGUCUUACAUGAAAACAAAAUUCUCAUAUUAAAUUAUAACAUCUUACUUCAUUGUCUAGAUUAGUCCCUUCUAUAGAAAUUUAGAUGCCUUUCUUCCAUUAUGGUGUUUGUCAUGUUGGGGCUAGGGCAGCCUGAAUGCCCAGUAUCUACAAACCUUUAUGGUUUUUUUUCCACAAUGUUCAAAGGCCUUUUCAAAUCCAUAGAAGCAGUAAGUGAAGCAGAGUUCUUUCACAUAUGUGACCAAACUGUCUGGUGUAGUCGUCUUUUCUUUUUUGAUUCAAAGUCCCGCUUGUCAUUUUAUAUUCUUUUCUACCAUUCGCAUGGCAGAUUCCCAGUUGCACUGUGGGUGGGAUUGACUUUACAUGUAUCCUUAAAUUAUAAGAUGUCCUUUUAUCUGAUUAGAACCAAAGUAUAGUCUUCAUCAAAUGCUUUAAUUAAUUACUAGGUCAUAUAUAUUGCAGCCGCUUGCGGUGCUUUAUACAUAUUUCCAUGGAAUAAAAGACAUCAUAAUGAAAAUGUUUGAUGUUGUCCCUCCAUAUUUUAGUGUCUUCUUAUAUCACAGAGCAUUUUUGGUGGAGCUAGAUUUCAAAAUCUAGAUCUGAAUUCAUAACUGUUUAGUUGGCAGCAUGAUUUAAAUGCAACACUUUACAUUCUGGUUUUUUACUGCUAACGUAUUUGACCUCGAAGUUGCAUAAUAAUUUAUCUUGGAUCGAAAAGAUAAUCGUUUCGCAAGAAACUGAUGACUUACUGCAGCACCUUUUUGUUAUUUUUGCUAGCUUGUAGUAAAAUAUUGAAAUAGAGUAUCUGUAAUAGAUAUGAUGAGCAAUUGAGGAUGGGAAAGAAUGCGUUAUGCCUUAUCCAGCUCUAUGGAGUGGGAAAAGGCUGGAAAAAGUAAAAGAUGGAGAUUUAGGAUGCGAACAUGAUCAAGAGUUUGUCGUGUCAAAUGUUAUAAUAUUUUGGUAACAUAAUUUAGCAUAAAAAAUCAAUGGUUUUUUCAAUCAGUUUUAUAGAAUGCUUAAAAAUGUUUAAGCAAAAAGUUCAGGGGCCAAGUUGCAAUGUCGAAAUUUUCUUUGUGCUUGUAUAUACUUCCGAUAGUAUUAGAAUAUUUUAUCCUCUGCAUUUGAAUUGAACCUUCUUUUAUACAUUUAUAUAUCGCAGAGAAAUUGCAAAACACCUCUCACUUCCGCCAGUGAAGCUCCACUGCAGCAUGCUUGCUGAAGAUGCAAUCAAGGCUGCUGUAAAGGACUAUGAAGCUAAGAAGGGUUGGACGUCUCAAAAGAGUGACAAUGCCGAAGCAGCUGGGGUAGCCAAUGCUUGAAUUCUGCAAUCUCUUGCUGUCCAAGGAUGUGACUGAUAGCUGCCGGUCUCGUGGGAUGCGCACAUUUUCUUUCAUUAUCAAGUACGUGAGUCGAUACAGAGUGCUUUAUAGCUGGUUUAAGGUGUGGUGUGGGAUGUUUAGUUGUAUAUCCUAAUGCACGAAUAAUGAGGAUCACACUUCUUUCGAGUGGUGAUUUAGACUUCCGCUGACCCUCUCAGCACGAGAAAUCAUAUUUGGUGCAUGUAAAUAAAAAAGAUGAGUCUUAAUGUGCAUAACUAUGGCGCUGUUAUAGUUUUGUUUCAAAAUGCAGGGGCUUGGCUGUUGACGGGCUGUUGACGGGCUGUUGACGGGCCGUUGACCAGUUUUCAUUGAUGAAACGGCUGCGAUACUAUAUCUUCCGGGUAUGUAGGCACUUUGCUUGUUUACACUCCGCCGCAGGUUUUCUCCUGUGUUUACCUUUUAAACCUUUUGUACUCUUUGGAUCUUGAAGUGCUUUAUCUCGAAAUAUAUUGUAAUAUACCGGACUUGUUGUGACCCGCCGAUGAUGAGAAUUUGCUGAGGCGAGGACGGUGACGGGGAUGAUGGUGGCCUCGGACUGCGACUCCGGGUUAAUUGGGUUAAAAAGAGUAAGACCAGGAGGCCAUAGGAAGAAGGGAUGGGAAUUGGAGGUACUGAGAGGGGAAUUGAGAUGAGAGAGAGAAUUGGGGAAGGAUUGUGAGUAGGGUGAGGGGAUAAUUUUGGAGAAGAAGAUAACUAGUUUUCAUUCAUAACUCCCACCUGGUUACAAUUACCCUAUAUUACUCAUCUCCAAGAUCUCGUUCACAGUAGAAAAGGCAAAAACUACAGGGAUUACAUUGCAAAAUAGUAAUUAACUUGGUCGGUACUGGGUCAGGCUUUCGGAUAAGAUCCCCUUCUGUUCCCUCCGGCUUUCCUUAGUGGUCGGAUCCUCUCAUUCAGCGCCUACCCCGAUACCGGUAAGCACCUGCUCCAAUAAGCUUGUUUAUUUACUAUCUAACCCCCUCGACUUGGUCUAGAUACUGUCAGAUCCUCUCCUCCACGACCCUAAUCACCUCGUUGCCCUCUUCUCCUCCGCGCGCGCUCUCACCCCUUCUACUUCCAUGGUCACCCCGACCGUCACAUAUAUCUGUAUCAAAAGUUGUGACCACUAGGGUGCCGAUGGUUCGGCAUCCACAAUCAAAUCACCUUAACAAGUGGGAAAGCGAUGAGAAAACUGUCUUUUGCGCUCAUUCGUUGGCUGUCACAUGAGGUAGGGAAUUUUCACAAAUCACAAAUCAAACUGCCAUCACAUUUGUCUCUGCUAACCACAUGUUCUGUGCAGGUUAGAGCGGGCCAACCAAUAGGUAUAUGGUCCAAGAAUAAUCCAUAAUGCCGAUCUUCUCGACCACAGUACAAAAGCUCGGAAGGUUAUACCCCUCUCUGUUUCUUUGCAAAAGUCGUAUGAGCUGACGUAUCAAAAACAAUAAUGUGACCGGCCGUCUCUAGAGCAAGUGGUAAAGGACUUGAUGGUUGGUACCUGAGAUCCAAGUUCGAAUCCUAGUUGAUUCACAUUUCUAACUAAGUUUAUUUCUAAAUAAAAUAAACGAAGUGAAUAGCAUGCCACCUAUCUCUCAAAAAAAUAAUAAUAAUAAUAAUGUGACCGAAUAGUUCGACUGACUAAACGUUGCCAGCCAAUUGACCACAAAACUAGCCUAUCCAUUUACAUGUGUGACAUAAAAAUGUAAAAAAAAUAAACUUGUAUCUUGAAAAAUAUAUCAGCAGUACGGCUUCGCGAAGCCCAUGAAGGGUCAAAAUUUUCCCUAAUUACCUCCAUCAGUUGUGAGAGUUCGAUUCCAACCAAACGUGUGAUUUUCCUCCACGUUGCUUCAUUCGAAGCCUCCAAUGCCUCUUCAACCUCCUUAACCUACAGCAAAAUAUGAAAUUAUCUUCAUGAGAUCUAGCUACAAAAUCAAUGAUCGCCUCUAUUUUUGAUACGAGCAGAGCAAGAUUUUGUUACAGGUAUAUAGCAACUUUAUUUUUUUGAAGGUGCCACAAGGCGAUUCCAGAUGCAAUCUCGACCGUUAAAUAUUGAUUGGUAAGUCGACAACAAAAGAGGAGUCCAAAUGCAAUCUCAACCGGUAAUUACUACUGGUGGAUCUCAACCGGUAAUUACUACUGGUGGAUCACUCCAUUCACAAUCACUCAUUAUCUAUCCAUAUUAUCACACGUGGAAAAUUUCGCUAAAAAGCCCACUAAAAGCAUUACAUCAUUUUCUUUUCCACGUCCUCCUCUACUCUCUCCACGGCCACCACAAUCAUAUGGUGUAGAAUCCUCAUUCGGCAACCAUUUCAUGUCCUUUCAAUUCAAUCGUACCAUAAAUUUGAAUCCUUCAUAAGUAGGAACAAACUCCCUUACAGCUAUAUAACAACCCCAAAUCCAACCAAGUAUACAAUUUAUUCAUAUAACUUUGAUUUUAGUCCCCUAGCUAGUUUAAAUAUUUUUCACUUUUAGUUCAAAUGGCCCCCAUUGUGCCGACGGCCCCAGCGGCGGGCAAGUCAGGUGGCCGAGUAAUGAAGUCUAGAGCUUAUGUUACGUUUCUGGCGGGGGACGGAGACUACGUAAAAGGAGUGGUUGGGCUGGCGAAAGGGCUCAGAAAGGUCGGGAGUGCGUACCGACUAGUUGUUGCGGUGCUCCCCGAUGUGCCUGAAGCGCAUCGUCGGAUCCUCGCUACUCAGGGUUGCGUAGUUCGGGAGAUCGAGCCGGUGUAUCCACCGGAGAACCACAUCCGAUUCGCCAUGGCAUACUAUGUCAUCAACUACUCCAAGCUGCGCAUUUGGAAUGCAAGUACAUUGAUAUAUAUAUAUAUAUUGCUAUUCGAUAUAUUUAUACGAAGUUCAACUUUAACUGAGUGUUAAUGUUUUGUUGACACAUGUAGUUUGAGGAGUAUAGCAAGAUGAUUUACCUGGACGCCGAUAUCCAAGUCUACGACAACGUCGACCACCUCUUCGACCGCCCGGACGGCUACUUGUAUGCGGUGAUGGACUGCUUCUGCGAGAAAACGUGGAGCCACACCCCGCAAUACAAGAUCGGGUAUUGCCAACAGUGCCCCGACAAGGUGAAGUGGCCCGAGCACGAGCAAGGUCGCAUGGCCUGCGGAGAUGGGGCCGACUCCUCCCCUCUACUUCAAUGCCGGCAUGUUCGUGUUCGAGCCGGGUCGAGAAAUCUGUGAUAGGCUCCUGGAGACUUUGCGGGUUGUACCGGUCACUCCUUUCGCUGAGCAGGUAAUUAUAAUUAUAUAUACUUUUGUUUUUCUUCUUUUUUUUUUAGUAUAAAUAAGAACUUCUUAUUUCAGAAAUAUGUAUAAGUUCAUAUAUAAGUAAGAACUAGACUAAUUUUACGUUUGGAUGAAAAUUGAGUUGUUCUCAUGAAUAAAAAAAAAAUAACGUUGGAUAAAUAAGGUGGAAUAAAAAAAAUAGUAACUAGUUAUAAAAAAAAUGAUGAUAUUGCUUCUCUCAUUAAAUAUGAAUUUGAAUUUUUAAAUUUCAUAAUUAUAUUUUUAUAUUUAAAUUUUUAAUUUUGUAAUUUAAAAUAUCAAAUUGUAAAUUCUAAAAUUCAAAAUUUUAAUUUUUUUUAUUUAAGAUCAAAUUUAAAUUUGAAAAAUAUAAAAUUACAAAUUAUAAAAUUUUGUAAUAAAUUUGAAAUUAUAAAUUUAAAAUUCUCUCUCUAUCUCUCUCAAGCUUGUUCCUAGAACAAGCUUGAGAGAGGAACAAUUCUACCUCCCACCCCUUAACGGGUUAUCCGUAACCCGUUAAGGGACGGAAACUAUCCGUUAAAGGGCGGGAACUAUUGUUCCUGCUUUUCUUUUUUUUGUUUGGAUAUAAGGAAAUGAAUAAGCUCUUAUUCCUUUUCUUAUAUCCCAUUCAAACGGUAUGUUAGAAAGAAAAAAAGAACUACCGUAAAUCAUGCCAUUUCAAUGAAUGGCUCUAAAAAUUUGUUAAUGGAUUAGUUAUAAAUUUAAUCUUGUAAUUUGAACAAUUUAACCCUAUGUAACAAUUAUGUAUAAAGAUACCAAAUUUGUAUUUAACUUUAACUUAGAAAUACUAUCGAGUAGAGAUAAGUCUCUGACACCACUAGAUCGAUCACGACCAGUAAGGAGUCGGAUAGAAAUGGAUGAGGGUGCAGCUUUGAGCCUUAACCAGAGGAAAGAAAAAUUAAAUAAAGCUAAGAACAAAGUGCUUAGUGGUAUUUGAAUUAAGACCCUCCUAUUCUGAUACUAUAUAUAUAUAUAUAUAUAUAUAUAUAUAUAAAACAGUAAACUACUUUAAAAACUUAAUUUGAGAUUCACAGUUAUAGAUAGUGUGAUAAAGAUUAACAUGUCAACCACCAUACAGACUACAGUGGUUGAGAUUCUCUUGUGUAUACUGUUUCGUGUACACUGAAAAUAGUAAAUGUAACAUGCAUGAGAAAAAAAUGGAAGCAUAAAACUCAAUCACCACAAUAUAUAAGAAAAGCGUCAAAAUUAAGGUUAUAACUUUAUUCAAUUAGUUCCUUAAUUAUUUCUUGCUAAUUUUAUACAAUUAACUAACUAUUUCUUGUUGUAUUUUGGUAGGACUUUUUGAACAUGUUCUUUGAGAAAAUCUACAAGCCAAUUCCUCUAGUCUACAACCUGGUUCUAGCCAUGUUAUGGCGCCACCCCGAGAAUGUCGAGCUCGACAACGUCAAGGUGGUUCACUACUGCGCUGCGGUAAAAUCCUUAUCCAUAAAUGCCCGAUUUUUUCAAGCAUUCGCUCCAUCGCUAAUCACUUGAACUUUAAAAAGUUAAAAUAAAUUAUACGGAUUUUGUGUAACGAUAUCGUUUAACAUCUUGCUCAUGAAUCUGUAACAAUUUUCUUAGGAACCUAUGAUUAAUCCUACAUAAAACCAAGUAACUUAAAACCUAGUUUUGAGCUAAGUAGUUAGAUCAAAAAUAAUAAUAUAGUUAAUUUUUAUCCUUGUUUUUAGCAUUUUAAAGUUCGAGUGUUGAUUCUAAUAUUUUGUUUUUUCUGAUGUAAUUUUUAUGCGGAAAGGGCUCUAAACCGUGGAGGUAUACUGGAAAAGAAGCAAAUAUGGACAGAGAAGAUAUAAAGACACUGGUGGCGAAAUGGCUGGACAUCUACAACGACGAUUCGCUCGACUACGUUGCAGCGGAGAAUGCAGUUCUGCAGGAGACUGCUUGCUCACUUUCUCCGAUCGUGACGGUCGUGACGGAGACGUCGAAUAACAGCUACAUUCCUACACCCUCUGCAGCAUAGAAUGAAUGAGUCACUCAAUAGAUCUUACUACAUAGCUAGGGAGCAAAUCCUCUACACUCAUGGGUGUAUACAUUAAUCCCAGGGUUGAGCCAAUGAGAUACCGCCAUAUGGCUCCAACCAAAAGAAAAGGUCAAAAUGUACCCAGGUGGCGGCCACAUGGCGGUAUUUCAUUGGCUCGCCCCUAGAAUUGUAUAUACCCAGCGGUGUUGAGAAUUUUGCCCUCCUUACUAUAGUGGAAUUAAUGAAGUUUCAAGGAGUUCUCCCACAUUUAUGAGGCAAAAAUUGUAUGGACAUAAUGUCUAAAUUAGCAUUUUUGGGAUGCCCUGGAUUGGCGCCACGUGUCUCGCAGACGUCCAUCCCCACCAUCCCUUUUCCUCCCUCUACUUCUUUCUCUCUCUAAAAAAAUCAUAUUUUUUUAAGAAAAAAAAUGGACGGUGAGAUGGACGUCUACGAGCCAUGUGGCGCCCAUCUGAAGUGUUCCCAAAAAUGUUAAUUUGUACACUAUGUCCAUACAAAUUUUGCUCGCAUUUAUGAUGAUGGUUGUAUCUACUAGUGUAAGGAGGAAAUUAAUGAAUUGUAACAACAUGCGAUUAGUAAUUGUUUUCUUUUUUUAAAAUUAUUUUGACUCUCUCUCAUAAUAUAUAUCCAAUCCGACUAGAAAUAUAAAAAAUUGGUGCUUCUAAAUUUUUAAUGCUUGAAUCAAUCUCUUUGAUCAUUUCUAAUUUUUAGAUUAAUAUUAUUCUCUUAAUAAUAUUAGGUUGGGGGUUAAGAAGUGGAAUAACUCCUUAAUCCCCAUAUUAUUCCCAAACACCCCAAAAAAUAGGUCGGGUUAGCUAACCUCACCUCAAAUGGGCUAUCCCGGGUUAGCUAACUCCACCAAACCCCACCAAACCCCAACCAAACACUAUUUUCUAUUCAUAAUCCAACCCAACACUAUUUUUCACUAUCCUGUACUAACUCCAAUCCCAAACCAAACACAAAAAUACUCUAACCCCACCUUAACCCUAAACUUAAUCCUAUCUAUGGAAUAACUAGUUUUUUCUUAAUUCCGAACCAAACGGUAGCCUCCAUUUUUCUGCAAAUUUUCUAUUUUGUGAUAACUUUAGAAAUUUUUUUUUAAAAAAAAAUUGUUUAGAUCUUGAUUACUGAUUUCGGAAAUAGAAGAGCUGUUUUGGUGUUUAAUUCUGCUAGGAAAAAAAAAAAAUCGUUAAGGAGACUCGUUGCUACAUGUCAUUUUUAUCCCCUAUUAAAAAAUUAUAAUUUUUUCUAAGAUUUUAUUUAUUUUUUAUUUUAGUAUCAAAAGAUACUGAACGAAUUAUAGAAUACGUACANAAAGGAAAAAAGAAAAAAAAAAAGUCUCAUUUCAAAUCUUACAUGACCUAGAGUACAUUUUGAAAUGAGUCUUUAAUUAUUUUUGUUUUAGCACAAACCUAAUUUUGUAAUUAGAUUCUUAACCUUUACGACUAAUUGCACUAAUGUUCCUUUUGUCAGUUUAGUCAUUAACAUCGUCAACCAUACACCCGCGCAUCACAUCAAGUCUCACUUCAGCAUCGUUAAUGUCGUUUUCCACGGCUAUGAGCAUCUCAACUUGGUGCCAACUGUUUCUUUUAAAGCAUUCGGCGUCUUUGCAUCAAAGAAGUCUUGCCAUCAAAUUCUUUCAAAAAUUUAAAGAAGUCUAAGCCCAAACUGAGCAUAAGCUAUGAGACUAUGACUGAAAUUUAUGAGAGCAAACUUGAUUUUAUUGGAAUUGGUGUGGCAUUUUCCAUCAAAACUAAUAGAAAUUCUGAUGGUCAAAACCCAACUGCAAUAAAAUAUAAAGGUCAGGCAGCGUUUGGUUAGGAGAUAGGAAUAGGAAUAGGCCCUUAUCCCCACCAACACCUUCAUUUUUUAUAUAAAACCACUACAACAGAAUUAGAUUAUAGAGACACAUGUUUGGGACACUUUUGAGUAAGUGUCCCAUUUAUGUUAAAACUUAAAAAAAUAUCUACUAAUGCCUAAAUAUAAAGCCCAAUCCAACCAAAAAUAAAAGAUUUCUCUACUCAACCCACCACGCCCAGUCCAUUUGGCCCGAUUACAAAUAGAAAAGAAAAAAAAAAAAUCAAUUACCAUAUUUUCUUCUCUCUUCACUCAAUCCACUGAAAUUCUAGACGAAGAGCCAUUCCUGUCGUCCUCCUCCGCCACCGCAGCUAACGAGAUAGAGUUUCGGCAGUUGCUAAAUGCUUAAAUAAGUGUUGGUAAAUUAGCAGCAUUUUUUUAGGUUAUAGCGACACUCUUUAACUGUCACUAUAUACCUAGCAACCCUACAUAUAGCAACACUUUUUAAAAGUGUCGGUAAUUUUAGCUAGCAGUACUUUUUUGACAUGUACAUAUAUUUAAAAGUGUCGCUAUAGACCGUUUUUGUUGUAGUGAACUGUCUAAAAUUGUUCUUAUUCCCGAGAACAAUCCAAUUUUCAUCCAAACAUUAUUUUUCUUAUCCCCAUACUUGUACCUAUCCCUGUAAUAGCUAGUUUUUGCUUAUAUCCGAACCAAACGGUACCUGAGAACUAGUAGCAAAAAAAUUAAAAAAAGUUAGGAAAUAAAGUGAAAAGGCGGAUAAAGGUUAAGAACAAAUUGUGGAAUUAAUU